rnacentral:lncRNA from 1 species
UUGAUGCAGGUUUCCACCAACGUUUUGUACUUGUUAGCUAGAGGAGGUUUCUUUACCAAAGGUGAGAGACGUUGAGAUCUUUGGCAACAGAGAAGUUCUCGGUACUGAAGCUGAGGCUUUUGCAGGUGAUGAUUGUAUUGAAGUAGUCGAUGGGGGAGGUAGAGCUUACUUUCGAAACAAUUAAAAGACGCAUGUCUUCAGGCAUGGACUCAAGAGUAAGCAUAAUAGGUUGUUUUGGAUUCAUGGUAAUGAUGAAAAAUUGUAGGGUUUCCGUACGUUGCUUGCUUUGGGCAUUUGUUUAUAUAGUACCGAGGAGAAAGUGUGAUGUUUGGUUUUCAUAGAAUUAUUGGAUUGUAACGCUUAUAAUUGUUUCGUAGACUUAGUGGUAGCCAUUAUUGGACAUUUAAAUGUAUUUGGUUUGAUUGUGAACAUUUAUGUUUUGACGUUAUAUGUAUUCUGAAUGGAGUUAUUAGCAAUGGUUAAUAUUUUUCUUUUUUAAUCCACAGCUAUUACUUAUGAAUAUCAUUGUUGUAAUUUAUAUUUUGUUAUGGAAUUAAUAGAGUUUUAAGGUGAACAUGAGAUAAGUUUGUAUGAUGUGCUUAGGGUAUAGAUAUUUUUUGGAGAAUGUGAUUUAUCUCAUUGUUUUUUUUUGGUUUUGUUUUUAUUUUGUUUAUUAUUUAAAAUACUGUAAUUACUCACUUUAGUUUAUCUACAAAGCAACUGAAGUGAGUUCACGGACAAGACAAGACAUAGUUUAUUUAGAAGACAUAGUUUAUCUACAAUUUAAAAUACUGUAAUUAACUUUACCUAGUUAUCUAAAAAUCUGAAAAUAGAUAAGUUAUUGUUGUAAAAAGUUGUGGGAUUAGAUUGAAAUGCAAGGGAAAAGGAAUAGUAUAGUUUUGAUAUAUAUAAUAUAAUAUAAAUGUUAAAUAAAACGAUGGUGUCAACUUUUUACAUAUCGUAAAGGUUGCAUUUGUUGUAGCUUGGGUGGUAAGUUAUUGUUGUAUAAGGACGUGGGAUUACAGACUAUUGCAUGGGAACAGAAAGAGAGUUGUUAUUGAUGCAUUAUAUAAUGAAGACGUUUUAUGUAUUAUUGAUUGCUUUGUAAUAUUAUUUAGGAAAGUCAAUUUGGUUACACAUCACUAACAACAUAUUUUAAGAGUACCAUACUUGCAUAUUUAUUUCUUUUGAGAUUGUAUAGAAAUACACAACUAAAUUUCGUAUUUUAUUUGGGCUGAGGUUGUAUUAUUAGUAGCCUGUAUUGAGCCCAAAAGGAAAGAGGAGAAUCUUGGUGACUCACCAUCUGUGGACGACGUCGUUGAAAGUAUGUGACAAACAAAGCAAUUUUUUUUUCCAAUUGCAGACAUAUUAUCGGUGUCGAGAAUAAGAAGAAGAAGAAGAAGAAGACCGAUCUGAGAAUAUUCGCCGGAGCUAGGGUUUUGUUCCUUAUCGUCAAUAUUUGUUUAGUGGGAAUGGCUCCCAUCCAAUAUCCUCUCGCUUCCGACCGGUACGAUCUCUAUCUAUCUUCCUCUAUGAAUUCGAAAUAGCUUGGUUUGACUGAGUCUUUUGACGUUUGCAUAGGUUGAUGUGUGAUGGUUAAAUUUGGCAUUUUAUUGAAUCGAUUUGGUUUAUGUGCUGGUUUUUGCUGGUUUAACGUUUGUGAAUUUUUUUUCCUUUUUUUUUUAACAUCGAUUUAGCGUAUUAGAUAUUUGUGUUGGUGUGGCUUUUAGUAUUAGUUCUGAGUAUCAUAAAAUGAGAAAGUGGUUGGGCCUAAAUCUUCAGAAGCCCAAGCUCUAUGAUGCUGUGACAAACGCGCAUACGUAAUCACCAAGACGCUCGAGAAGCAAGAGAGAGCGUGAGAAACACCGGUCCACUUCCGAGCCGCCAAGUGUCCAAAAAUGCCCCACCCUCCGUGCUGACGUGGACGCCUGAGAAUAGAACACAAGACAACUUUAUAUAUAUAAGAUAUAUGUAAAAGAUUCCACGACCACAUGUUCAACCGUCACAAAGUUAUUUUGGUCUGAUAUUAUUUUCAAGCAACUAUCUAUCAUAUCCGAAGAAAGAGAUGAGAACCAAUCGCUUUACGGGAAACUGUUAAUAUGUCUUGAAUAUACGUUACGGUAUUCUUGUCAUUUUUUAUUGUGCUUAAUUUUUUUUAAUUCGCCAUCAUUAGAUCUGGAGGAUCUAAUAAGAGAAUCAUUAAUAGUUUCUAGAAAUGAGUUUCUCGGUAUCUAUAUUAUUAAACUGAAAUACCCUUUAAAAUAACUCUUCUUCUUUCAUAAUAACUAGGGGCAUAGCCUCCGUGCAAGCGCGGAGCCGGGUACAUUAUUGAUGUAUUGUGCAGUCUUAUGUAUGAAAUUUUGUUUUCUUUUUAUAACUUUUCUUUUUCCGUGUUUUAUAUAAUCUAUAUUAUAAUAGAUUGAUUAGGUUAAUAUGAGAAUAACCGGUGAUUUCUUAUGUGUUGAUAUUCUAAUGUGUGGACGACUAAAAGAGUUUCCGAUUUAUCUUCAUGAAUUCGACAUCUAGCAACAUUUUCCCCAUGAAUAUGUCGGACAAAGACCCACAUAUCCGCUGAGAUUCAACAUCUGAUACGCUGACUAAUUGAAAUUGUAAUACCCCGUCUUAAAAAAAAAAAAACCCUAAUUUCGGUUUUAUGAAAUUUCUCGGGGAAGCCGAAGGCUCGGGAAAUUUUUAUCCUCAAGGUAAAGGUUAAUCUGGAGUCUAUUAAAAAUAUUGAGCUCAUCAGAACGGGAGCGGAAGAAUAUUCAAGAUUGAUCGCGGGACGAAAAUUCACCAGAAGGGCCGAAAUCACGCAUAUUGACCGAGAAGCUCGAGGUGGCUUGAUCUAAGGGAUCAGGACGUGGUCUCAACCAUUAAACCUGCUGAGUGUCAACACAAGAAGGAGGUGUAGACGUGCAGGAAGCAGUUCUAUGCAGCUCGACACACAGAAGCACGAGGUGUCGCAGUACCUGCGAUCUGCGCAUGCGAACCGACAUGCAGAGGCCGUGUGUCGCGAUGCAUGAACACCAGACAUGCUGAAGGGCAAGUGGACGUGGAGGUGUCUUAUGGCAUGGCCAGGAGGCAUGCAACAGGGCAUGUGGACGCCCAGGUGUCGCCACACAUGUGACCGGAAGCAUGCGAGACGACACACAUGCGAUCGGGUGGCAUGUUCUUAUUGGCUGGCAACUUCUAUAUAUACCCAGCCACCCUUCACCAUUUUUACUCAUCUCAUUCCAUAGAAACCAAAGCAAAACGUGGCUAGAGAGAGAGAGAAAAAAAGAAGUGAGGUGCUUUAGAAGUAUAGACAUUUCCAAAGACCGAUAAACUGCCGGGAAAUUCUGAAAGACUGUCCAGAAGUGAAAGAAGUUUUUUUCAGAGUUCUGAUCAGUCCAGACCAGUCCACUCAAGACAUCGACGUUGGGUUUUGGGAUUUAACAUCACGGUACCAAGACGAAGAUUUGGAGGGGAUAAAAGGGGUUUGGUCAACAUCCGGAAUCAAAGAGUCGAGCCACAUCGCUUAAUCACUGUGAGUCACAGUUAAUUGUUUGUUAACGUGUUUUUACUGCAGGUUCCUGACAUCAGAGACAGUUUCCGAGCUAGGAUAGCCGGACCGGUCUAGGUGUCAGUUUGUGGAUCCGAGGCUUGAGACGAUGUCUGGGCUUAGUGGAUAGCAAGACUAGUCUAAGCACCCGGAUUAUUGUGAUUGUGUGAUUAUUAUAUAUUGUUAUAGUGUGUACCUCGUGUUGGUACUGUUGUGUGAGAACCUCGUGGUGGUUCUAGUAGUAGUUUGCAGGUCAUUGCUUCCUCAAAUGGUACCACUAAGCCGGUCGUGGUCCGGAAAGUGGUGGGCUCGGUUUAACUUGGCUUGAUCACCAAGGCCGAGUGUCACACGUGGAUGUGACAGCCCCCGGCGAGUCCGAUAGAGGACCGGGGCACGGCGAUUCCGAUUGACGACCGUGACCGGGCGAUUCCCGAGCGCCUACGCCUGUGUGGUGUAAUAGUGAAGGGAUUGUCGGUGUCCCUUAUGUGGAGGAAGAAUUAUUCUGUUGGGCCCUAGGAGUAUAUAUAUAUAUAUAUAUAUAUAUGUUUGUUUGAUUGAUGCGACACUCAUAAAGAAUGUUUUGAUUUAAUAUGGUUUAAUGGUUUAUUGCUUAAAUCGGUCUUGCUUUAUGUUCUUGAAUGUUGCUUGUUGAACUACCCGUCUUGCUUGUGUUUGGGGUUAGGUUUAGAAUGACGGGUAGUUGUAUAUGCUAGAUGGGGAACCCUGGCUCACUGAGUGAAACUAGUUAACUCACUCCUCACAUCCUUUUGCAGGUGACCAGUAGAAAGAACCAUAGCGCUCGCGGAACUGUAGGAGCUGGUGUAGAUUGGACAUCUUUUGCUAAAGACUCGUUUUCAAGAUAUAUAAAUGUAUGUUUUACUUUCGACUGCGUCCAUGGACCAUAUGUAUAAUAUUUUGGGCUUGUGAACUUCAUGUUUUAUAUAUAUGGAAUAAAGUAUGUUUUAUAUUCGUGACGUGUUGAAUCUGAUAUUAGGUUAGUCCAGCCUAACACAACUCUAUGAUUUGGUACGGGUUGCAAAGCCUUAGGCCGAAGAUUAGAGGAAACGAGUUUUGAAUGGAUAUUCUGGGUUACAGAAUUAUGUUUGUGACUUGGAAAGUCUAUUCUCAACCCGUCGUAACACUUUCGGACUUGGCAGAGGAAGGUCGUUCGGGCAUGUUCUUGUUUGAUUGUUGCCCGGUUGACUGACCGAUGUCUAAAACGGUACGGGGGUGUUACAGAGGUGGUGUCAGAGCAUGGUUUAGAUCAUGCGGUCAAUCACGCGUUUUUCGUGUUUUGUCGAGUCAAAUGUGUCGCAAAAGAUGUAUUAGGACCAGCAGAGUUCCGCUCUAAUUAGUAUUCUAAAUAGAAAUUCCUUGUUUGUGGAUUGCAGAUGGCAGGGAGGGGAAUGAGUGAUGGGGAACAGGAUUGGAUGCUGGGUAUAGACAGAGUCCCAAGAGGAAGGGUACUGGAUAUGAAUCCGAGGGGAGAGUGCAAACACUGACGCACACUAACCAAGGAUUUAGUGAAGAAAACGUAGGAAAAAACAACAAUCUGUUUGGACAUGAUAAGAGAUACCACCAGAAGAAAACUUUCCACCAAACCGUACUGUAAGGAGAAGACAAGAAACAGAUGAUAGCGAGUCGAGUGUUCAAGGACCAAGACCAAUAAGGCGGAACAACCUGAUUGAACCAGAAGUUCAUGAUCAACCACAACAAGGAGUAGGAAUGGAGCACACUCUGAAGAUGCUUCAUGACGUGAUAGCGAGGUCAUUACAACAACCUCAGGUGCCACCUCAGCCACUCGUGCCACCACAACCUUCAGUUAGUACACCGAUGUUACCGUUGAUAACUGCCAUGAAAAAUAUGAAGACACCACAUUUUGAAGGAGGGACAGAUCCAUUUCAAGCCGACCAGUGGCUUCGAACAAUGGAGAAAAACUUUGAGACCCUGACGUGUUCCGAAGAAUCUAAGAAGAAGAUGGCAGUGUAUUACUUAGACAAAGACGCGGCAGAAUGGUGGGAGAGUAGGGAUCGCCAAGUAGGACAUCUGGUCACCACUUGGGCGGCAUUCAAACAAGAAUUUGAACACAAGUACUUCACUCCUGAAUCUAAGCGAAGGCUUCAACGUCAGUUUGCAAACUUGGUACAAGGAGAUAAGACGGUUAGAGAAUAUGAAUCUGAAUUUAUGCGAUUGCGACGACACGUGCUGCGAGGACAAGAUGAUGAGGAGACCAUGAUAUCUAACUUUAUGUUUGGUCUUAAACCAGAGUUAGAGAAUAGACUAGCAGUCGGUAACUACGAGAGUCUCACCGAGCUAGUGGAAAAAGCUGUGAAUGUGGAGAUCAGAUUGGAAGCUGAGAAGGCGGCAAGUAAGAAAUUCAAGCAGCAUCAAGAAGGAAAGUAUGGUGGAAAUCAAAGAUCAUUCAAGGGUAAAGAUAAGGAAAAGGAAUCGGGAGGGCCAAGUCGACGAUCUUUGUUCACAGGAAAAUGCUUUAACUGUGGCAAGACAGGCCAUAAGUCAAGUGAAUGCUUCGGGAAGAAACCUGGAUCCUUUCAGUCAAACUCCUACAAUCCUACAUGUUUCACGUGUGGAAAGAAAGGGCACAUCUCUACCCAGUGCAGCGUCAACCGUCCUAUCCCAGCUACGCCAAUCACUGUCCAUCCUCCUCCAGCUCCACCUGCAAUCGCACCAGCGCCAAAAAGGCAAGCUAUAGGAGGUAGAGUUUACGCUUUAGAACUAGAGGAUACUAAACCUCCAGGCCCAUCUAAGGGUCCCAUCACAGGUAUUUGGGUUCUUUAACCUUACUAAUUUGACUUUGUGUUGUAUGAUUGCUUGUGAUGGAUUGGUUAAUUUCUAUUGGAUAAUUAUUAUGUUGUUGAUAUAUAUUGAUGUUGUGGCAGGAACUUUACAUGUUGCGGGGCGUCCCACACAUGUAUUGUUCGACUCCGGGGCAACACAUAGUUUCGUGACCCCUGAGGUAGCUGCCGAGUUUGUGGGAUCAUUUGUGAUUGACAAGAUGGAUGUGGCUGUAAUGACUCCCGGAGACCAAACCCUCCAAGCAAAAGAAUGCCUCAGAAGAGUUCCGUUAGUCAUUUGCGAGAAGAUGUUCUUGGCAGAUUUGUUGGUGGUGCCCUUAAAAGGAUAUGAAGUCAUCUUGGGCAUGGAUUGGUUAUCAGGCUAUCGGGCACAAUUAGAUUGUGGAAAAGGUCGUAUUUCGUUCAAGGAGAACGGGCAACGGCAAAUAGUGUUCUACGGGAUCAGUCCAAGCAAGUCUGUGUCUUUAGUAGCUGCCUUGAGAGUGGAAGAUUUGCUUAAGGAUGGAGAAGCGUAUCUGGUAACUGUAACUGCUAGUGAAGGACCCGCUAGCAAUGGAGUUGAAAUUACGGAUAUUGCGGUAGUACAAGAGUUUGAGGAUGUAUUUGCGGCGUUAAAAGAGUUACCUCCACCUCGGAGUAACCCUUUCACAAUUAACUUGGAACCUGGAGCUAAGCCGAUAGCAAAGGCUCCUUACCGCAUUGCACCCGCAGAGUUAGCAAAGUUGAAGAAACAACUUGAAGAUUUAAUGGAGAAAGGUUUCAUAAGACCUAGCUCUUCACCAUGGGGAGCUCCGGUCUUAUUUGUCAAGAAGAAGGAUGGUAGCAUGCGACUUUGCAAUGAUUAUCGAGGAAUCAACAAUAUCACCAUCAAAGAUAAGUAUCCUCUUCCGAGGAUAGACGAGUUGUUGGAUCAGCUAAGGGGAGCAAGUUGGUUUUCGAAGAUCGACUUGGCGUCGGGCUAUCAUCAGAUUCCAAUUUUAGAAGGUGAUGUCAUGAAGACCACGUUUAGAACUCGUUAUGGACAAUACGAGUUCGUAGUAAUGCCUUUUGGACGUACUAACGCACCAGCGGCCUUCAUGAGAUUGAUGAAUGAAGUCUUCCACGAUUAUCUCGACAAGUUCGUGAUAAUCUUCAUCGAUGACAUUUUAAUAUAUUCCAAGACAGAAGUCGAGCACAAAGCACACUUGAAGUUAGUGUUGGAACGGUUAAGAAACCAGAAGCUGUAUGCCAAGUUCAGCAAGUGUUCUUUCUGGAAAAGAGAGAUCGGGUUCUUGGGGCACCGUGUGUCUGGAGAAGGAGUUUCCGUAGAUUCGGAAAAGGUGAAAGCCAUCGAGGAAUGGCAAAGGCCAUCAAUGGUAACUGAGGUAAGAAGUUUCCUCGGUUAGCCGGGUAUUAUCGAAAGUUCGUCAAGAACUUUUCUUUGAUCGCUAAGCCCUUGACGAAGUUGACCGGAAAAGGAGUUCCGUUCAUCUGGGGAAAAGAAACGGAUGAAGCAUUUCAGAGACUGAAGAAAGCUUUGACCACAACACCGUUAUUGGCAUUACCUGAACAAGGUAAACCUUACACUGUGUACGCAGAUGCUUCUAGGGUUGGGUUUGGUUGUGUGUUGAUGCAGGAAGGCAAGGUAAUUGCUUAUGCAUCAAGGCAACUCAGGAAACAUGAAGAGAACUACCCAACACACGAUUUAGAAAUGGCGGCAGUGGUGUUUGCGUUAAGGAUUUGGAGAUCUUACUUAUAUGGAGAAGUCGUGGAAGUAUUCACAGAUCAUAAGAGUCUCAAGUACUUGUUCACACAGCCUGAUUUGAACCUCCGACAAAGGCGAUGGAUGGAGUUUGUGGCGGAUUACGACCUGAAGAUUCAAUAUCAUUCAGGCAAAGCUAAUGUAGUCGCAGAUGCACUAAGUCGUAGAAAGUUGGCAUCUGAUAUUGGAAACGAAGUGGAAGCGUUAUCAAGUGAGCUCAAGUUGAUGAGUUUAUGGGCAAUUGAAGGGGAGCUAAGUGAGCCUUUAGGCAUGUGUGCCGUAAACCAGGCAGAUUUACUCGCACGGAUCAGACAGGAGCAACAACGUGAUGAAAAGUUAAAAGGGAUCAUCGCAGAAGUUAAAAAUCAAGAAGCUCCAAAUGAAAGUGGCUAUUAUGUGGGGGCAGAUGAUACACUAUUACUUAAUGGGAGGAUAUCAGUACCACAGGGAGAAGGGCUACGAGAUGGGAUUUUGAAGUCGGCGCAUCAGUCGUUACUCAGUAUCCAUCCCGGGUGUACGAAAAUGUAUCGAGAUAUCCGAAGGUAUUACCAUUGGCUAGGAAUGAAGAAAUCAGUGGCGCGAUGGGUGGCUCAAUGUCAAACUUUUCAACAAGUCAAAGUCGAGCAUCAGAUUCCAGGAGGAUUGUUACAAUGCUUACCAGUACCUCAGUGAAAAUGGGAUUCCAUAUCCAUGGAUUUCAUCACUGGUUACUCCCGGCUCGAGGUAGAUCAAACAACGCAAUAUGGGUGAUUGUCGACAGACUGACGAAGGUGGGGCACUUGUUACCGAUGAAGGAAACCGAUAAGGUAGAAGUAUUGGCAGAGAUGUGUGUGGACCAAAUUGUGAGGUUGCAUGGUAUGCCAACAAAUAUUGUCUCCGAUCGAGAUCCUAGAUUCACCUCAAAUUUUUGGAAGGCGUUACAAGAAGCAGUGGGAACUAAGUUAUUCAUAAGCACCGCGUAUCAUCCCGAGACGGACGGCCAAACCAAAAGAACCAUUCACACCAUAGAGGAUAUGAUGCGGAUGUGUAUAUUGGAUUGGGCGGGAAGAUGGGAAAAGCAUUUACCAUUAGUCGAAUUUUCCUACAACAACAGCUUUCAUUCUAGCAAAGGUAUGGCAUCAUAUGAGGCGCUUUAUGGGAGACCAUGCAAAACACCUUUAUGCUGGACCGAAGUUGGAGAAAGAAGAGGGGUUGGACCCGAAAUUGUAGAAGAGACGAUGAAAAAGUUGGAGAUCAUUCGAACCAAUAUGAAGAAAGCGCAGGAUAGACAAAAGAAGUACGCUGAUCAAUCAAGGAGAGAAAUGGUGUUCAGUAUUGGUGAUUGGGUUUAUCUGAAAGUGUCAGCUCAAAAAGGAAAGGACCGAUUCGGGAAGGUCGGGAAACUAGCGGUUAGAUUCAUUGGGCCUUACCAGAUUAUACAACGAAUCGGAGAGGUAGCUUAUCGUCUAAACCUACCUGGAGAGAUGCAAAUACAUCCGGUAUUUCACGUAUCAAUGCUGAGGAAACAUGUUCAUGAUCCCAACGCUAUUGAGUCAGAGCAAAUCGAAAACCUGCAAACAAACCUCACUUAUCCAGAGGGACCAAUACGAAUAGGUGAGCGUCGGAUACGAAGAUUGAAGAAUCGAGAAAUUCCUCAAGUCCAAGUUUUCUGGGGUAAGCGGAACCGUGUAGUUGUGACCUGGGAGGAUGAAUCAAGAUUCAAAGCGUUGCAUCCAGAGUUCUUCCACGAAGAUGUAGUGAUGGAAGAAGGGGGAUCACCAGAUCCUUAGAGAAUUCGGGGACGAAUUCUAAUAAGGGGAGGAGGAUGUAAUACCCCGUCUUAAAAAAAAAAAAAAAACCCUAAUUUCGGUUUUAUGGAAUUUCUCGGGGAAGCCGAAGGCUCGGGAAAUUUUUAUCCUAAAGGUUAAGGUUAAUCUGGAGUCUAUUAAAAAUAUUGAGCUCAUCAGAACGGGAGCGGAAGAAUAUUCAGGAUUGAUCGCGGGACGAAAAUUCACCAGGAGGGCUGAAAUCACGCAAAUCGACCGAGAAGCUCGAGGUGGCUUGAUCUAAGGGAUCAGGACGUGGUAUCAACCUUUAAACCUGCUGAGUGUCAACACAAGAAGGAGGUGUAGACGUGCAGGAAGCAGUUCCAUGCAGCUCGACACACAGAAGCACGAGGUGUCGCAGUACCUGCGAUCUGCGCAUGCGAACCGACAUGCAGAGGCCGUGUGUCGCGAUGCAUGAACACCAGACAUGCUGAAGGGCAAGUGGACGUGGAGGUGUCUUAUGGCAUGGCCAGGAGGCAUGCAACAGGGCAUGUGGACGCCCAUGUUGCAUGGCCAGGAGGCAUGCAACAGGGCAUGUGGACGCCCAUGUGUCGCCACGCAUGUGACCGGAAGCAUGCGAGACGACACACAUGCGAUCGGGUGGCAUGUUCUUAUUGGCUAGCAACUUCUAUAUAUACCCAGCCACCCUUCACCAUUUUUACUCAUCUCAUUCCAUAGAAACCAAAGCAAAACGUGGCUAAAGAGAGAGAGAGAGAAAAAAAAGUGAGGUGCUUUAGAAGUAUAGAUAUUUCCAAAGACCGAUUAACUGCGGGGAAAUUCUGAAAGACUGUCUAGAAGUGAAAGAAGCUUUUUUUCAGAGUUCUGAUCAGUCCAGACCAGUCCACUCAAGACAUCGACGUUGGGUUUUGGGAUUUAACAUCACGGUACCAAGACGAAGAUUUGGAGGGGAUAAAAGGGGUUUGGUCAACAUCCGGAAUCAAAGAGUCGAGCCACAUCGCUUAAUCACUGUGAGUCAUGGUUAAUUGUUUGUUAACAUGUUUUUAAUGCAGGUUCCUGACAUCGGAGACGGUUUCCGAGCUAGGAUAGCCGGACCGGUCUAGGUGUCAGUUUGUGGAUCCGAGGCUUGAGACGAUGUCUGGGCUAAGUGGAUAGCAAGACUAGUCUAAGCACCCAGAUUAUUGUGAUUGUGUGAUUAUUAUAUAUUGUUAUAGUGUGUACCUCGUGUUGGUACUGUUGUGUGAGAACCUCGUGGUGGUUCUAGUAGUAGUUUGCAGGUCAUUGCUUCCUCAAAUGGUACCACUAAGCCGGUCGUGGUCCGGAAAGUGGUGGGCUCGGUUUAACUUGGCUUGAUCACCAAGGCCGAGUGUCACACGUGGAUGUGACAGCCCCCGGCGAGUCCGAUAGAGGACCGGGGCACGGCGAUUCCGAUUGAGGACCGUGACCGGGCGAUUCCCGAGCGCCUACGCCUGUGUGGUGUAAUAGUAAAGGGAUUGUCGGUGUCCCUCAUAUGGAGGAAGAAUGAUUCUGUUCUGUUGGGCCCUAGGAGUAUAUAUAUAUAUAUAUAUAUAUAUUUUUGUUUGUUUGAUUGAUGCGACACUCAUAAAGAGUGUUUUGAUUUAAUAUGGUUUAAUGGUUUAUUGCUUAAAUCGGUCUUGCUUUAUGAUCUUGAAUGUUGCUUGUUGAACUACCCGUCUUGCUUGUGUUUGGGGUUAGGUUUAGAAUGACGGGUAGUUGUAUAUGCUAGAUGGGGAACCCUGGCUCACUGACUCCUCACAUCCUUUUGCAGGUGACCAGUAGAAAGAACCAUAGCGCUCGCGGAACUGUAGGAGCUGGUGUAGAUUGGACAUCUUUUGCUAAAGACUCGUUUUCAAGAUAUAUAUAUGUAUGUUUUACUUUCGACUGCGUCCAUGGACCAUAUGUAUAAAAUUUUGGGCUUGUGAACUUCAUGUUUUAUAUAUAUGGAAUAAAGUAUGUUUUAUAUUCGUGACGUGUUGAAUCUGAUAUCAGGUUAGUUCAGCCUAACACAACUCUAUGAUUUGGUACGGGUUGCAAAGCCUUAGGCCGAAGAUUAGAGGAAACGAGUUUUGAAUGGAUAUUCUGGGUUACAGAAUUAUGUUUGUGACUUGGAAAGUCUAUUCUCAACCCGUCGUAACACUUUCGGACUUGGCAGAGGAAGGUCGUUCGGGCAUGUUCUUGUUUGAUUGUUGCCCGGUUGACUGACCGAUGUCUAAAACGGUACGGGGGUGUUACAGUCAUCCUCAUUAGCUAUCCAUUAAAUCCGCAAACUGUGCAAGUAUAAGAAAAUAGUUAUCUACCACAGUUUAUAAACCCCAAACAAUAAUGAAACCUUUUAUUAGGCAUAGAGCAAGAGAAUAUACAUAACCCUAUAAAUAUGGUCAAGGCGAGAUCUUUUACAAAAAUAAAAAAUAAAUAUCCAUGAGCUCCUCUCAGGUCUAUGCGAACUCUCUUAGUCCGUCCAAGAAGCUGUGUUUCUUUUCCAUUGGUUGUUCGUGUAGUUGUCGGAUGUGUAAACGAUUUUGUUCACCUUCUCCUUGAAACUACCAAUGUGUUCUAAUUUGGAUUUGAAGUCUGGGAAAUUAGUGAAUUCCUCCAUGGCAUACAUGUCUUAGUGGACAACUUCGGAAAGUAGAAAAAAAAAAAACAAAGAAAAGUUCUUAUACUUGCACAACCCUGUUCAAAACUCACCGCCAAGGGACGUAAAAUCACCGGAAAAACGUAACUCGGGCACCAACGGUGACGAUUUAGACUGAUUCGGUCCGAAAAUCGGGAUUCUUAAAAAAAUUAAUUUUUACUCGUUUCAUCCUAUAAUCGAGUAUAAUCGGUAUUCUACUUGGUCAUUUUUUAUUGUGCUUAAUUUUUUUAAUUCGCCAUCAUUAGAUCUGGAGUAUCUAAUAAGAGAAUCAUUAAUAGUUUCUCAAAAUGAGUUUCUCGGUAUCUAUAUUAUUAAACUGAAAUACCCUUUAAAAUAACUCUUCUUCAUUCAUAAUAACUAGGGGCAUAGCUCCGUGCAAGCGCGGGGCCGGAUACGUUAUUGAUGCAUUGUGCAGUCUUAUGUAUGAAAUUUUGUUUCUUUUUAUAACUUUUGUUUUUCCGUGUUUUCUAUAAUCUAUAUUAUAAUAGAUUGAUUAGGUUGAUAUGAGAAUAACCGGUGAUUUCUUAUGUGUUGAUAUUUCAUAUCUAAUGUGUGGGCGUCUAAAAGAAUUUCCGAUUUAUCUUGAUGAAUUCGACAUCUCGCAACAUUUUUCCCAUGAAUAUGCCGGACAGAGACCCACAUAUCCGCUGAGAUUCAACAUCUGAUACGCUGACUAAUUGUCAUCCUCAUUAGCUAUCCAGUAAAUACGCAAACUAUGCAAGUAUAAGAAAAUAAUUAUCUACCACAGUUUAUAAACCCCAAACAAUAGUGAAACCUUUUAUUAGGCAUAGAGCAAGAGAAUAUACAUAACCCUAUAAAUAUGGUCAAGGCGAGAUCUUUUUACAGAAAUAAAAAAUAAAAAAUAAAUAUCCAUGAUUUCCUCUGAGGUCUAUGCGAACUCUCUUAGUCCGUCCAAGAAGCUUUGUUUCUUUUUCAUUGGUUGUUCGUGUAGUUGUCGGCUGUGUAAACGAUUUUGUUCACCUUCUCCUUGAAACUACCAAUGUGUUCUAAUUCGGAUUUGAAGUCUGGAAAAUUAGUGAAUUCUCCAUGGCAUACAUGUCUUAAUUAGUGGACAACUUCGGAAAGUAGAAAAAAAAAACAAAGAAAAGUUCUUAUACUUGCACAACCCUGUUCAAAAACUCACCACCAAGGGCAGUAAAAUCGCCGGAAAAACGUAACUCGGGCACAAACGGUGACGAUUUAAACUGAUUCGGUCCGAAAAUCGGGAUUCUUAAAAAAAAUUAAUUUUUACUCGUUUUAUCCUAUAAUCGAGUAGUAUAUAUAAAAAUUCAUGAUGUUUUCAUGAAAAUAGCAAAAAACGAAGAAAUUAAUGUAUAACUCGUGAAAAAUUAUAAGCCAUUGGAGUCAAUAUUGCAGAAAACCUAAAAAUCUAAAGAAGAAGACGACUUGUAAAAGUUAUAAUUGCUUUUAAUUAAACUUAAUCAUAAAAACAAGCAAAAAACCCAUGGUUGCUAUUCAAGCUCGGAUUGUUAGCCUUAUUAAAGAUGUGUAAACCGAUGCACUAAGUGAUAUUUAUUGUAAGUUUUUACGAAAACUAAUAUAUUAAAACAAAAGCUUAAAAAUGAGUUCCACUAAAAUAAAUGAAAUGCUGAGGUGGACACCCUAAGCAAAAAGGAAAAACUGAAUCAUUAUAAUAUAGAUUACAAUUUAUGCCAAUAACUUAAAAAAACGAAUCUGUUUUUCUCCAUCAACUCCUCGUAAGUCAGCAUUUAUACGAAUCUAUGCAUCUUUCUUUCGAUAAAACUUAUUCUGUUAUAUUUUAUGAUUUGACACUAAAAUCGAAACUUGUGAUUGUAGAAAUGGCGGCAGCUUUAGCUUCAAGAAUCUUCCGUGGUAAGAGACUAAAUCUGAUUAGUAUUAUUAUUGAUUGCUAAAAGUGUUUAGGUUGCACCGUUCGAUCUUGAGAAACUGUGGGGGUUUUAAAGUUUAUGAUAAAAUGAGAUUCAAUCUUGUAAGCCGUGAUGGGGUUUUUUGAACUUGAUGGAUAAUUUUGAAAAUUCGAUAGAUUAUGAAAGAAUGAUUCAGUUGAUUAAACAUAUGGUUGUUUGUUGUUGAUGUUCUCAUCAAUUAUAUGCUCAAAAUCUGUUUAUUUUUAUGGGUUUAUUGUCUGAUUUUGAUUCGUACACUAAUAAUGAGCAGGAGGACGUUCAUUACUUGGAGGUCUUAAGAAUGAUUUAGCUGGAUCGAUGAUUUCUUCCAAUGGAAUGAUGAACGAAAGUAUCCUCCUCUCUCAGGUCAGAAACCUUCUUCAUUUUUCAGUAUUUGUUUGGUUUGAUAAUAAGUGGAUGUUUUGAUGUCUGAAAGAUUCUUCCUUUUGUUACUGUUAAUAAGCAGCAGCAACAGAGAAGGAUAUUCAUUCAAAUGGGUACGGUUCUCAAAGUCGUGGACAACUCCGGAGCCAAGAAAGUGAUGUGUAUUCAAGCUCUCAAGCGUAAGAAAGGAGCUAGGCUUGGCGACACGAUCGUUGCUUCGGUGAAAGAAGCCAUGCCAAACGGUAAAGUGAAGAAAGGAGCGUGUCGCUGCUCGCUGCUCUGAUACCAUAAAAGAAGAAAGGGGAAAUAUCUUCAUUAAUGUAAAUGAUGUACAAGUAUGACUAUAUAUACAAGUGUGAUUUAGACUAAGCUAACUUUACAAGAUUAACUUAAUACUAAGUGUAUACACACUCUAUUAGUCGUGUUGAUGGAAGCGAAGUUAGGUUCGAUGAUAACGCAGUUCUUCUUGUUGAUAAUAAAGGCAAGAAGACUAAAACUGAUCGGCAGCCGAUUGGGACUCGAGUGGAGUGUUUGGUCCUGUUCCUCACGAGCUUCGCAAGAAGAAACAUCUCAAGAUCCUUGCUUUGGCUCAACAUAUUGCUUGAGACAACCAACAUAAGCCACCCCUAAACCACUUGGUGUCAUCUUUUUCAUGUUCUUUCUUCUUUUUUUUGAAAGAAUUUUAAAUUUAUUCACUUUAAAAACCUUUGUACAACAACCUAAUGCUACCUUUUAUCUACAAGAAUAGAUCAAAAUUUUAAUAGUGUUUUGGAAGGUAAAAGAAAGAAACCAAAAUUCUCAUCUCCUCCCGAACCAGACUUCCAUUGCUUUCUCGUGCUUCCACCCAGGUUUUUCAUAACCAACUUAUCCAUGUAGAGAAUCAGAAGUGUAGCUGGCUUUGGAGAUUCUCCAAAGCAUUUUUCUCAGACCAAAUGGCAUAGACCACAGCUUGAAAAAUCUAAAAAACAGAACCAUGUUCUUCUGUAAACUCUCUCAUAAUUAUUCUAUUUUGUUUUUGUUAAGUCUUCGUUAAACCCACCGGUUAUAUCUUUUUCUUUGUUAAUUUGGAGGUUGAAUAUUUUUAUAAAGGCCUCCAGCUCUGUUUGUGUUAUGUUUUUCUUUUGGUUCACGAAAUAUAAAACUCAAUAGUCCUGAUCAGAUUGAAAAUUGGUGUACGUCUACAUGCUUAAGACAGCUGGAAGACGUGCAGGUGCGUUUUAAGUUAGGGGUGGUAUGGUCCAUCGGUUUCACGUGGGGUUUGGUACUGAGACUUGAAAUGGUUUUGUGUUGCAUAAGUUGGAAACGUAUUGAGAGGAGUAGCGAGUGAUAUUCAACUGAGAAUCAGUAUGGAAGGGAGGAUUGUUAAAGUAGGCGAGUUGAGACGUGGUGAAGAGACGCAAGUAAUGUUGCUAGAUCUUGGUGUGCAUGUCAAUGUUCGUCUCUGCUAGCUAUGUGGAAGGAGAUACGAGUGAGUGUAUCAGGAGAAGAGGGUGAGACUACAUUGAGCUUGGUUGACGAUAAGGAAGGGAUAGAAACUGAUGAUUGUGAAUCUGGAGAUAGGAGGGAUGAUGAUGACAACAUGAACAGCAGUAGUGUGAGGAGAAGCAUUAAUACUUGAACUUGGGACGAUCAUGAUCCUUUUAUGGCCAGAAGAUGGGCAAUGCGAAACUGUAAAUCUCUGAUUAUGUUAAACAUGUUAAUUAGUGAGCAUUUUUACUUGUAAACUUUCUCAAUAUUGCUUAUGUAGCAUGUUACAACAUACCAUGAAUUCAUGAUUAAUUCAAGACUAGAGACUUCAUGCAACUGUGAUCCACUUAAAUUAUUGCUAGUCUUUAAUGGUGUAGAAUGGAAUUUUGAAAAACAAAACUUAGAUUAUUGAUUCAAUGGAAAGAGGGACUGAUGGAGAUAAUAACUAUCUUUAUUAUCUCAGUCAGUCCUUUUGUUAAUGAGUUUUUUCUUUAAACACUGAAUCAUUCAAUAUAGGGAGAAAUGAGUUCAUGACCAGUUUGGUCGUACAUAUACGCAUAAGAACAAGUAAAUACCCCAGUACAAUGGAGACAAAAAUGAAAAAAAACAGUAGCCAACAAAGACUAGAUGAAUAUCAGUAGGUACCAUUCAAGAUGGAAAAUUUAGUAGACCUCCCAUUCAAAGCGGAACUUUGUUAGGAUUCGAAUCCAAGCUUGAUUAUUUAUAUUGCUCCAAAGAACUGAGGAGCCACUGAAAUCAAAAGCUUAGAAAACAAUCCAGAAAGACGAGGAGAGAAACAAUUAACCUUGCUACUUCCCACGAGUAAAGACAAUAAGAACCAAAGUAUAUCAUAUCGUUGGUCUGUAGCCGGAGAGUCUCAGCCGAGAACCGUUGCACCAAGACCAAAAGAAAACACUCCUUCUUCACCGCCUGAGGCAACAAUAAGCAACCUAAAUACAGAUCUAAACCAGAUGAGAACAAGCCAAAGACGAAGCAUAAGCCAACACAACUGGCGAUUGAGACACAGAGGAACAACACGCAUCGCAUCCUGGUUUUAUUUCAUACCAAACUAUUAUCUUGUUUUCAUGUACCGUUAUAAAUAUUUACAAAGUAAAUAAAGUAUAAAAAUUGAUCAAUAUUCUAUUUAUCUUAUUUUUAUAAUUUACUCCUAUACAUUAUUAUUUUAAACAAUAGUACCUUAUUUUUUGGUUAAUCAUGAGACUUUAUGUUGAAUAUUUGUCAGUUUGGUUAUCAUUUUAGUAUAUUGUGUUGAUGUUAUGAACCAGAUUGUGAAUGGCUCAUAACCAAGAGAUUAUGAUUUGUAAUCUUUCCAUUUAUCUAUGACGGUGUAAUCUCCUAUACAAAGAACCUCUAUGUUAUGAACACUACAAGAAACAGACUAAUUUCUGACCCUUAAUUUCGUUAGAUAUUGGUCAGAAACACUAUAAUUUGACCACUUUUUGAUCACAUAAGACCGUCAAAAAUACUCCGUCAGAAAAUGAGUUUGGUCAGCGAAUGGUCAGAAAUUUUUGACCAUAUUAACUCGACGGAAUUGUCGUCAAAAACAAACAUCAGAAAGUGGUCAAAAUUACUUUUCCAUUUUCUGAUAAAUUUCUGACCAUUCUUUUAUGUUGACUUUCCAAGAAUUUUUCAGAUUAAUUUUUAUUACUAUUUUAUAUUUUAUCAGAUUUUUCAGAUUAAUUUUUAUUACUAUUUGAUAUUUUAUCAGAUUAUUAAUUAACUAAAUUAUAAUAAAAAUAUGAAUAUAUUAAAACUUAAUGGAAUAGAAUAGAUUUAAAUUGAAGUUAUCUGUAACAUAAGAAUUGAAGUUUAGCAAGAUAAGAAUAUAUAUUAAAAAAAAAAGAACUAACUCCUCUCAAGAAAAGUAACUACACUUUGAACUGGUUGUUCUCAAAUGCCAGACCCAUUUGUUUACAAGAUACCAACAACUAACUUCUACCUGGAAACACAGCUAUCUAUCUUUACGUACACACAGCCUUGUUUAACUUCUAUUGCAGCUGGUGUUUUCUUCCCUUUGUACGAUGUCGAAUCCGGACUUUCUGGAAAUAUGCAUAGGAAAUCAUUUUUAUGUUAGAAAGUUGCAUCUUGAAUAAUAUGUUGAAUAAACAACAAAAAAGUUCAUUAAAUAAAACUUACCCGGAAUUCAUCCUCAGGUGAUAGACUGGUCUCACUGAUCUCUCGUUCUGAAGUCACAGCUGACUUCAAGUCAUCAUCUACUAUCCAUUGACCAUCGGAUAACCUGCAGUUACAAUGAAGAAUAAACUGAAAUAGCAAAGAAGAAGAAAAUCAAAAAGGAGAGAAAUAGAAAAAGGGAUGAGAAGAAAAUGAAAAGAGAUUGGAUGACGCCGUUUGAGGAGGAAGCUGACCUUAGGACACUACAAGAAAACAGCGGUAUUCUGACGCACAUUCCGACGGAAAAUGAAAUCCUCGGAAUAUCCCGAGGAAGGAAAUUCCGAGGAAACACAAAAUUGGGUUUCCUCGGAAUAUACCGACGGAAUUCCGAGGAAAUAUCAAUCCGUCGGAAUAUUCCGAGGAAAUUCCGGGGAAAAAUGGGUUCCUCGGAAAAAACCGAUGAAUUCCGAGGAAAUAUUAUAGCCGUUGGGGGAUUUUACAAAAUUCCGAGGAAAUUCCGACGAACUAGCCUUUUCCGUCGGAAUUUCCUCGGUCUGUCAGCAGGAUUUAAACUAUAAAUACAAGCACUCCCCUUCCUCUUCAUUCACUUCAUAUCUUCAUCCUCCCUCUUACUCUAUUUACACACGAAUUUGAUUCAUAAAAAAUAUGUCUUCUUCAAAUUAUUUUCGUUCCUGGAUCGAUCGACCUCAUUUGGAUCCGAACACGAGAUUGCUUACGGAAGAAUACCAACGAGGUAUAACUGAAUUCAUGGGGUUAGUUCACCGACAACUGGAAGAAAAAACAGGUAUGUUAAGAUGUCCUUGCUCUAAUUGUAAAAAUAGAAAGGUUAUUAAAGAGUGGGAUGUUUGGACUCAUCUAUAUUUGAGUGGGUUUACACGAAGUUACAAAAUUUGGUAUCAUCAUGGGGAAACUGAUUAUGAUGUUACAAAAUUUGGUAUCAUCAUGGGGAAACUGAUUAUGAACAUGGCAGUACUAGCGAACCUCAGCCAGCGGUUAGAUUAGAAGAACCAAUUAGAACGGAUGUAGAUUAUGGUGUAGGUACUGAGCAGAUGGUAAAUGAUCAUUUUAGAGGGGAAGAUUUACCCAAUGCACAAGCUAGGAGAUUUUAUGAUAUGUUGGAUGCUGGAAAGCAACCAUUGUACGAAGGUUGCAGAGAUGGUCAUUCAGCUUUAUCAUCUGCUACAAGAUUGAUGGGCAUUAAAACAGAUUAUAAUUUGGCUGAAGACUGUGUGGAUGCGAUUGCUGAUUUUGUAAAAGGUAUUCUACCCGAGGAUAAUGUAGCUCCUGGUUCAUACUACGAGGUUCAGAAACUCGUAGCUGGUCUUGGUUUAUCGUAUCAGGUAAUAGAUGUAUGCAGCGACAACUGCAUGAUUUAUUGGAGGGCGGAUGAACAGCGGGUUACAUGCAAAUUUUGUGGAAAGCCUCGUUAUAAAGAUACGAGUGGAAGAGUUCCAGUGCCAUAUAAAAGGAUGUGGUAUUUACCUUUGACGGAAAGGUUGCAGAGGUUGUAUCUGUCUGAACGCACAGCGCAACCAAUGAGAUGGCAUGCGGAGCACUCAACAGAUGGUGAGAUCAGACAUCCUUCAGAUGCAAAAGCGUGGAAGCAUUUCCAAUCAAAGUAUCCCGACUUUGCGUAUGAGAGAAGAAAUGUCUACCUUGGAUUAUGUACUGAUGGUUUCAGUCCGUUUGGCAAGAGUGGAAGACAGUAUUCUCUAUGGCCCGUCAUUCUUACACCAUACAACCUCCCCCCAAACUUGUGCUUGCGACGAGAGUUUUUGUUUCUCUCGAUUCUCGUUCCCGGACCAGAGCAUCCUAAGAGAUCACUUGAUGUGUUUCUUCAGCCACUAAUAUAUGAGUUGCAACAACUAUGGGCUCAAGGUGCUGAAACAUACGAUGUUUCGUGUAAAGAAAACUUUCAAAUGCUGGCAGUACUAAUGUGGACAAUAAGUGAUUUUCCAGCAUAUGGUAUGUUGUCUGGAUGGACAACGCAUGGAAGGCUAUCAUGUCCAUAUUGUCAAGAUAACACUGAUGCUUUCCAACUAAAACACGGAAGGAAAACGUGUUGGUUUGACUGUCACAGGAGAUUCCUACCACCUGAUCAUCCAUAUCGUAGGAGUAGGAAUUUGUUUACGAAGAACAAGAGGGUGUUUGACAGUCCACCUCCGGAAAUUUGUGGGAAAGAUUUGAAGAUACAACUAAGAGAUUUUGGUGCAGAAAGGACGCCAGAAGUCGGUGGACAUGAGCGUUUUCCGGUAGAUGCUGUUGGAGAACUACAUAAGUGGCACAAAAAAAAGUAUUUUCUGGGAUCUGCCAUACUGGGAGGAUCAUCUGCUAAGGCAUAAUUUAGAUGUCAUGCAUAUUGAGAAGAACUUUUUUGACAAUCUCAUGAACACGAUCCUUAAUGUUCAAGGUAAAACAAAGGAUAAUUUGAAGUCAAGACUGGAUUUAGUCGAUAUAUGUGCUCGUUCAGAACUUCAUGUUGAUGAGAAUGGUAGGGCUGCUUUUCCCAUAUACCGACUUGAUGCAGCGGGAAAAGAUGCGUUCUUUGAUUGGAUUUCAAACGAUGUGGAAUUUCCAGACGGUUACGCAUCAAAUUUGCGUAACUGUAUCGACAGAAAGGAAGGAAAGUUUACUGGCUUGAAAAGCCACGAUUGCCAUGUAAUGAUGCAGCGCCUCCUUCCGUUCGUCUUCAAGGAACUAUUACCACGAAAUGUUCAUGAAGCAAUUGCAGGGAUAAGUGGUUUCUCCCGCGAUUUAUGCACGAGAUCAGUGACUCUUGAAGGUAUUGUAAAUUUGAAGACUAACAUAGCCGUGAUUCAGUGCAACCUUGAGAAGAUAUUUCCUCCCUCAUUUUUUGAUGUUAUGGAGCAUCUUGUUAUUCACCUGGCAAGAGAAUUGGAACUUGGUGGUCCUGUGCAGUAUAGAUGGAUGUAUCUGUAUGAGCGGUAUAUGUUCCAUUUGAAGAAGAUGGUGAAAAAUUUAAGUAGGGUGGAAGGUUCUAUAGUCGCACAUAUGAUCAAUGAAGAAACUUCAAACUUUGCCGAGUACUACUUUCCAGCAGAAGUUCAGACCAAAAACAGAAGACCUGCUCGGCAUGAUGAUAGAAGCGAACGGGCAACAUAUCAUGUUACGGUUCCAGACAUUUUCACAGAUGUUGGACGACUUAGCGGAAAACCAAAGGACCGUCGACUUACUGAGCAGGAGCGCAGUCAUUUGCAAACAUAUUUGCUCACCAACUGCGAAGACGUUCUUCAAUAUGAGAGGUAAAUAAAUGAGCUUACAAAUUUUUAUUUUAACAAGUUGAAAUUUAAAUCUUAAUUAAUUACAUUAUUGUCAUCAUAUACAGGAUUUUCAAGGCAGAAAAGCGGUUCGAGUAUAGAUACGCCACAGAGGACGAACUAGAAGAAAUGAAGCUGAGAGAAUUUAGUGGAUGGAUGUUUACUUAUGUGAGUGCUUUAAACAAAUUAAAAUAUAUUUUAUCACAUAUUUAUACUAAUUCACAUUUAUUGAUAUAAUAUAUAUAUAUGUGCUAUUAAUAGGUGUCUGCUGGUUUGGCCAGAGGUGAAACAUUUGACGAUUGGAUACGUGAGAUGGUCGUUGGACCAAACUUUGUUGUGAAGUCAUAUCCGAGAUUUUGUACUCGAGGAUAUGCAUUCACAACUCAGAAGAGGAGACGUUCGAGUACGACUUAUGAUGCUGGCGUUUGUUCUGCAUCAGGAGAUGAUGUAUACUACGGACACAUACAUGAGAUUUUGGAAAUUAAGUAUUUGGGCAUGGUUGGAUUGCGCUGUACUGUUUUCUAUUGUGAUUGGCACGACAACACCCCAGAUCGAGGUGUGAGAACAGAUGCAUUUGGUGUUACAUCAGUAAAUUCGAGGCGAAAGCUGCAAUNNNNNNNNNNNNNNNNNNNNNNNNNNNNNNNNNNNNNNNNNNNNNNNNNNNNNNNNNNNNNNNNNNNNNNNNNNNNNNNNNNNNNNNNNNNNNNNNNNNNNNNNNNNNNNNNNNNNNNNNNNNNNNNNNNNNNNNNNNNNNNNNNNNNNNNNNNNNNNNNNNNNNNNNNNNNNNNNNNNNNNNNNNNNNNNNNNNNNNNNNNNNNNNNNNNNNNNNNNNNNNNNNNNNNNNNNNNNNNNNNNNNNNNNNNNNNNNNNNNNNNNNNNNNNNNNNNNNNNNNNNNNNNNNNNNNNNNNNNNNNNNNNNNNNNNNNNNNNNNNNNNNNNNNNNNNNNNNNNNNNNNNNNNNNNNNNNNNNNNNNNNNNNNNNNNNNNNNNNNNNNNNNNNNNNNNNNNNNNNNNNNNNNNNNNNNNNNNNNNNNNNNNNNNNNNNNNNNNNNNNNNNNNNNNNNNNNNNNNNNNNNNNNNNNNNNNNNNNNNNNNNNNNNNNNNNNNNNNNNNNNNNNNNNNNNNNNNNNNNNNNNNNNNNNNNNNNNNNNNNNNNNNNNNNNNNNNNNNNNNNNNNNNNNNNNNNNNNNNNNNNNNNNNNNNNNNNNNNNNNNNNNNNNNNNNNNNNNNNNNNNNNNNNNNNNNNNNNNNNNNNNNNNNNNNNNNNNNNNNNNNNNNNNNNNNNNNNNNNNNNNNNNNNNNNNNNNNNNNNNNNNNNNNNNNNNNNNNNNNNNNNNNNNNNNNNNNNNNNNNNNNNNNNNNNNNNNNNNNNNNNNNNNNNNNNNNNNNNNNNNNNNNNNNNNNNNNNNNNNNNNNNNNNNNNNNNNNNNNNNNNNNNNNNNNNNNNNNNNNNNNNNNNNNNNNNNNNNNNNNNNNNNNNNNNNNNNNNNNNNNNNNNNNNNNNNNNNNNNNNNNNNNNNNNNNNNNNNNNNNNNNNNNNNNNNNNNNNNNNNNNNNNNNNNNNNNNNNNNNNNNNNNNNNNNNNNNNNNNNNNNNNNNNNNNNNNNNNNNNNNNNNNNNNNNNNNNNNNNNNNNNNNNNNNNNNNNNNNNNNNNNNNNNNNNNNAAUCUUUUUUUGUGAUUAAAUUAUUUGGGAUUUUUUUUUAAAAAAAAAUUAAUUUAUAUAUUUUUCUAUUUAUUAAAUAUAUUUUUUUAAUUUACAGGUCUCAUGAUUAUCAGACCCAGCCUCGACAGCGUCGUGGUCGUGGUAGUACGGGGAGCCCGUCUCGGGAUUCCAGCCAUUUUCAGGAUUCUCCUUCGCCCCACAGCUCCAACCAUACAUCUCCCUCUGCUGCACCCGCUCCUGCUCCUCUCGCUCCCGCUGCUGCAUCCGCUCCUGUUCCCCCGGGUCCUCCAGGAGUGAUGCGUGUUGCGGAGUUGGUUCAACAGCCCGGUCGUGACCAUCUUCCGUAUCUCACUCCGUAUCCACAUGGACGGUACAAACAUGGUAAUUAAACAUUUUUUUUUCUUUAAAUUUGGAUUCAUUAUUAACCGUUUAUUCUUUUUAUUAGGUUCAACCGAUCCGGGAACGGGAUCAGCGCAUGGAUCAACCGUAUGAUGUACUCGGCCCUCGACAGUGGACAUCCGACUUUCACUCACUUCCCUACCGACAAGCAGGUUCUGUGGUUUCGUCAGUUUGCGGUAAGUAUUCUAAUUUUUUACUUAUAUUUUUAAUCUUUAAUAUAAAUUUUCUACUAAUUGUGUUUUUUUUCCAGCAAGAGUUCAACUGGAAUUCCGAUGAGACGCUCUUUAUCUAUCACCACUUCGUCCAUAAAGUUAUGGACAACUAUGGGAAGCAGAUCCACGAAUGGAAGAAGAAGUGGGAAAUCAAUAAGGUUCGAUUUAAUUUAUUAAACAAUUUUUUAAUUUAUUAAACUAUUUUUUAAUUUAUUAAACUAUUUUCUUUUUUUUUUUAUUAAAAGGUCCCAAAGUCGAUGAACGACACGGUCUGGAAGGAGUUGUGUGCUCAUUGGGAUAAGGAAGAGACGAAAGAAACUUCUUCCACCAACUCCACCAACCGCAGGAGCGACCGUAAAGGGAAGGGCAUCUACAAGCAUAACUUGGGUGCUCAAUCUAUUGCCACUCUGGGAGAUCGCAUGGUAAGUUCAACCGCUUUUUCUUCAAUUAUCUGAGUUUCAGAAUUUUAAUUUAUUGUGCAUUUCUUCUAAUUUCUAAUGUUUCUUUAAUUUAUGUUUUUUUUUCAAGGCGGAAGAAAAUGAUGGCGAGCCGGUUGAUGAUCUCGCCCUAAUGAGGAGGGCGUACACCAACAAGAAGACCGGCCAGAUUGAUGACGGUCUUGUGAGGGACGUGGUCGACCUGGUCCAAACUCAGGUGGUAGACGAAGUGUCUCAGCUUCAAACCGAGGAUGACGCUUCGGCGGCUUCGACCAAGUUGUCCCGGUUUCGAAUCAACGAAAUCGUUGAAUCCGUAAGUUCUUUUUUUUUAAAGUUCAAUUCAUUUAUUUCUUGGUUUAAAUUUGUAAAUUUGGCUAUUUUCUAUUCAGUCGGUUUCAAAGAAGAAGGGACGUUUGGUCGGUUUGGGUCGUCGCACCCGGUCGGUUCCUCCUUCUUCUGCACCACCGCCCUUUGUUGAUCCAGAAGUACUUACGGCUCAGUUGAAGGACAAAGAUGAUCGUAUAUCUUUGUUGGAGACCCAGAUGGCGGCUCAACAGGCGGGCUAUGAGGCACAGAGGAGGCUGAACCAGCAAAUGAUGGAGAUGAUGCAGAGGAUGUACCCGAACGAGGUGUUCCCGGACGUGCCAGACCCGUAGUUUUUUUUUUUUUCCAAAAACUCAGAAUGUUUAAUUUUUAUUUGUGAAACUUUGAAUAUUAAUUAAUAUGAUUUCAAUUUUAAUUUUAAUUUCAUAUUUUCGAAUUUAAAUUUCAGAAAUUUUAUUUUUUUUUUUAAAAAUUAAUAUUUUUUACAUUCCGAGGAAAUUAAUUAUAUUUUUUACUCGAUCGAUCGAUGCAUUUUUGGACAUAAAUCCAUCGAUCGAUCUGUUUACAAAAAAACGUUCGGAAUAUACCGAGGGACCUGUUCCUCGGAAUAUACCGAGGAACUGUUCCCUCGGUAUAUACCGAGGGACAUUUCCCUCGGAAUAUUCCGAGGAACCGGUUCCUCGGAAUAUACCGAGGGACAUGUUCCUCGGAAUAUUCCGAGGAAUAUGUCCGUCGGUAUAUUCCUAUCGAUCGAUGUAUAUAUGUCCAAAAACGCAUCGAUCGAUGAACGUCCGAGGAAAUAUCCCGACGAAGUUCUCCCUCGGUAUAUUCCGAGGACAUUUCUGACAAACUAGUGAUCCUCGGAAUUUCCUCGGAAGUUUGUUUCCUCGGAAUUCCAUCGGAAAAUUCCGAGGGAUUUCCGAGGAAAGAAGAAAUUCCGAGGAAUUAUUUCCGACGACUUGUUUCGUCGGUAUGUCGUCGGAAUAACGAUAUUCCGACGAAAUUCAGAUGAUUUUUUCCCUCAAAAUCCUUGCUGUUUUCUUGUAGUGGGAGAAUGAGGCAAGAAGAUUUGAUAUCUAGGUUAAAUUAGAGACAUCAUCAAAAAAUGGUCAAAAUGUGGUCAAAAUUUUCUGACCACUUUUUGUCUAUACAUUUUGGUUAAAAGUUUUUGAUCAUUUUUUGACCAUAUUUUUUAUUUAUCACAAACUGGACAAAAUAAGGUUACAAUUAUUUUUGACCAUUUUUGUUGGUUAGAAAUCAGUCAAAAAAUUUGACCACUUAUUGAUGAUACGUUUUGGUUAAAAAAAUUUAACCAAAUUUUGACCAUUUUGUCAUUCAUCACAAAAUGGACAGAAUAAAGUGAUAAUUAUUUUUAACCAUCUUUAUUGGUCAGAAAUAUGGUCAAAAUGUAAUGUGUUUUCUUGUAGUGGAAUAAACAUAGACUUUUCCAUUACUUUUAUAACACGUUAUCAGCACGAAACUCUAAAUCCCUAAGCUAAUACCCAAAUCGAAAAACCCUAAAACCCUAACCCUAGCCGGCGAUCCGACGAACCCUAAACCCCGAUCGCGUCUCUUGUUCCCGCAUCUGUUCCAGCUCGCGUCUCCGAUCAGCUUCAGCCCAAGGCGUUCAUGAUCCUAGGUCAGACGUUCGCGACCCGAGAGCAGCUCCAGCACGCGACCUCUUCCUUGUUCGCGACAGCAUCAGACUGCUCGCGUCCGACGAUCAAGGCGUUCCCGAUCAAGCAACAAUGGACGUCCGCGACCCGAUAGAAGCGACUCGAUCCAUUCCAGUUCGCGUCCCGUUCGUGUCCAGCUCGCGGCUCAACUCCUUUGGUGGUCCGAUUCAACAAUCAUAUAAGGUUAUAAGGUAAUUAAAAACCUAAGAACCCAUAAUCGAACAUGGAUUGAUUGAUAAAGAAUGAAACCCUAAAACCCUAAUCUUUAUGAAUCAAAACCAUAGGGUAAUAGAUCAAAAAUCCUAAUUGAGUAAAUCGAAGCUCUAAAAGUUCGAUACCCUAAACCCUAAAUCAUGUUCCUACAUGAUUAAAACCCCAAAUCGGUUUUUACAAGUUAAAAUCCGAUAAACCCUAACCCUAUAUCUAUAAACCUUAAACAAUAUAAGUAUCAGAAUUAAUUAUACUAUAAUUAUCAAAUCACAUAUUAAAACCCUAAUCGAAUAUUUUGAAAUCAAAACUGUUUUCGGUUUUGAUCAUUGAGGUUUUAAAUCUGAUUGAAUCUGAUGCUAUGUUGCUAGAAUUGUUUGACGGUUAAAUUGAUAGAUUUAUUUUCUCAUCCUGCUUAGUUAAUUGUUCAUCCGAUCUAAAAUUGUUUAAACCGACCAGCUUGUUAAAACAUUGAUUGAAUCCGAUAGGUUGUUAGCUUGCUUUGCUUAUAUAAUCCGAUAGGUUGAUAGAUUGAUUGAGGUUUAUUUGUUUAAAAUCCGAAUGAUCUGAUUGCAUUAUUCUUGAGGUUUAAUAUUAUCUGCUAGGAUUGAUAGUUUUGUAAUCUGAUAUGUUUUAAAUAAAAACCCUAAAUAAUCCGUAUGAUAGGUUAUAUUGAUCUGAUUUGGAUGUCUUUGAGAAUUGAGAAUCCGUAUGCUAGGUUGAUAGAUUCAUGAUAAAAUCUAAUGUCUUGAGGUUUAAGAUUGUAUGCUAAGUUCGAUUAAAUUGAUUGAUCUGAUUAUAUGUUUUUGAGGUUUGAUAAAUUUGGAUACUAGAUAAAUUAUUUACACAUGGUUUAUGCUAAAUACCAAUCAGCCUUGAAACUGAUUCAUUGAAAUUCAUGCUUGAAAUCAAUAUUCUAGUAUUGCUAAAAUCAGCUUUCAAACUGAUUCAUUGAAAUUCAUGCUUUGAAAUCUAUAUUCUAGUAUUGCUAAAAUGAGCCUUGAAACUGAUUGAGUGAUUAGUAAAUCUUUUUACUAGUCUUGCUAAAAUCCAUUGAUUGUUAAACCCUAAUUGCAUGAUUAAUUGAAUCCGUUUUUGCUAGUCUUGAUAAACCAUAAUAUUUUGAGCACAUAGAAAUAAUAUUGCUGAGACUUGCUAGAAAUUGACUGAUUGAUUAAAUGCCUUUAAGAUUGAUAGUCUCAUUGUCCUCACAAGAUUGAAAUCCGAAUUGAUUGUUUUUAAGAGUAAGGUUGCAUGAAAAUUAUACCUAAAUAUUGAGUGAUAUAUGAUUUGAGAUGUCAAAAAUUAACCUGGAUUUUGCUGCCCUAAAUCUCUCUGGAGAUAAUUAUUUACGGUGGGCAUUGGAUACAAAGAUUAUCCUAAAGUCAAAAAAAAAAGACUUGGUGAAUGUAUCAUAGAAGACAAUAAUGCCAAUGAGAAUGAUUGAUACAUGGCAAUAUUAAUUCUUAGCCAUCAUCUUAUUAAGAGUCUCAAAGAUCAGUAUCUGACUAUAGAGAAUCCUCUAGACCUUUGGACAUAGUUAAAAAAAUCGAGAUAUGAUCAUCAAAGAACGGUGUUAUUACCAAAGGCCCUAUUUGAUUGAAGGAAUCCCAGAAUCCAGGACUAUAAGUCCGUGGAUGAGUCUAUUGCUAACUGGGCAAAAUAAUGGAUUACUGAUGAGAAACAGUGAAUUGAGACCUCCUGGAUUAACCCCAUUACCUGAUACCAAUAAGGCCGCAGAAGAAAAAAAAAAAGGUAACUACGUCCAGAAUUAUAGACCACACGGCCAUGGCCGUGGAGGGUGGAAAGGACGUGGCCAUGGCCACUAUAACACAUUUGGCCGUGGGAAUCACUAUGGCAGAGGCCAUGGGUAUCAACCCAAUUUGAGCCAUGGUCAAGGCAGUGGUCGUGGUAUAUCCUUUAAACCACAAAGCUCGACCAAAUCAGUGUGCCAUAGAUGUGGAAUGAGGAACCAUUGGGCUAAGAUAUGAAGAACUCCCAAAGAGAGUCUGAAAGGGAAGAAUCCUGAAACCCACUUGGUCUAUAAAGAUGGUGAAAAUAAUUCCGAACAUGAUCAAGAUGAUCUUAUGGAAUAUGAGACUUAUGAUUGCCUAAAAGAAUCAAGUUGAUAAUCUGAUUUCGACAUCAAACUUGUGUGAUUACUUUGCUUGUAUGCUUUCUCUGAUUUUUAUCUCCUUGAAUUUAUUUCUAUUACAUUGUCUGCUUAGAUUAAAUGAAUGAAUGAUUUUUCUAUAUGAGUACACUGAAAAACGCCAAUGUAAGUACUAAAGCAGGUAUUGUCAGUCUGAAAGAAGACUAUGGCUAGGCUAAUAUAUUAUUGUCUAAGGGUAUGCAUCUAGAAAUCAGUGAUAACUUAUAUUCACCCAGCUCUAAGAGCAAGAGCAGCCUAUUGAGUUUUAAAGAUAUAAGAAUGAAUGGUUUCCAUAUUGAAACAAUAGGCGAAGGAAACAAAGAGUUCCUUCAGAUAUAUGUAUAAAAUCGCCCAAGGCCAUAAUAAGUCCUAAAGACUAUACCUGCAUUCUCUACUGGCCUAGAAUAUGCAUAGAUCAGUAUGAUAGAGGCUAAAAGCCUGCGAAAAUAUACACUUUAUGGCACGACUGGAUUGGCCAUCCUGGUCCAAACAUGAUGCGAAAAUUGAUAUUCAAAAGGCACACAUUAAAAGAUAAGAAGAGUUAUCCCAAAGAAUCUCACGUGUGUAGCAUGUACACAAGAGAUACUCAUUAGGCCAUCACCUGUAAAACGGCUACGAGCCCCUUUUUCAUAAUAAAGACAAUAUGUCAAGAUAAUACUGGUGAAUACAUGUCCCAAGCGUUUAAAUGAUUAUGGUAUGUCCAUGGGGGUAAGUGUGGACAAUUCUGUGAUACAUGUCCAUACCAAGAACGGCUUGGCCGAAAUCUUUUAAAACGCAAAUAGCUGAUUGAUAGACCCUAACUUAUGAGGUCAAAACUCCCAUACACAGCUUGGGCCACACGAAAUUUACAUGCACCUAAGUUAAUACGCAUCAGGCCAUUUAGUGAGCAUAGAUAUCCCCUAUCACAAUUAUUAAUGGGUCAAGAGCCAGACAUACCCCAUCAUAAGACAUUUGGAUGUGCUGUCUAUGUACUAAUUGCUCCACCACAGAGAACUAAGAUGGGACCUCAAAACGAGGAUGAGAUAUAUGUUGGAUAUGAUUCUCCCACAAUAAUAAAGUACCUUGAGCAAACUAUGGGUGAUUAUAUUUGAGGCCAUGUACACAGAUUAUUUGAAGACCAAGAGGAGAAAAAAUAAUAAAGCUGGUAAAACAAAUGGUAAAAGAAAUAGAAUGGAAUCAACCAUCAAUGUCUUGGCAAGAUCCUCGGACUAAAGAAUGUGAAAUAGACGUCCAAAGAUUAUACAUUUACAAAGCUAGCUAAUCAAAUGCCAGACAUAUUUGCUGACCCGAAAAAGAAUGACUAAGUCAUAUAUAAACCAGCUUUUAAAGCACCAACGAAUUUGAUGUCCAAGAAGAGACACAGUCAAGUUGCUACAGAUUCUAGACAACGUAUGAAACGUGGUAGACCAAAUAGGUUCCAAAAGAUAAGAAUCCUCAGAAACAAAAGAAAGGUCCAGAGAAUGAUAAUCAAAAUCCAAAUCCGAGGUUACUAAGGAAACCAUCCCUGACAUGGAGAUAAGGCCGGCCGGCUCUAAGGUACAUGUACCAAACAAUGUAGCUUGGGACGCCAAGCUGCAAAGUAUUAAAGGUCCUGAUAAUAAUGAAUCUCAAUCGAUUAUAUCAUGUCUGGAACAUAAUGGAACCAAUAAGGAAUGUCGACAUAAGAUGAUUUAUUUGCAUACAAGGUAGCACUUGAAUUUAUGAAUAUAAGCGAGGAUCAUGAACCCACGUCAAUAUAAGAGUGCGCACUCGUAGAAUAGAUUGGAUUGAAUGGAAACGUGAGGUUAAAUAGUUUAAAGAAGAAAGGCGUAUUUGGCCAUAUGAUGUUAAAACCAAUGGAUAUAAAUGGGUCUUGUGAGGAAUAGAAAUCGUGAGAUAUAAAGCUGAUGUUGCACAAGGAUUCUCACAAAGACCAGUAAUAGAUUAUGAGGAGACAUACUUCCGUGUGGUGGAUACAAUUACUUUUAGAUUUCUCAUAAGUCUGGCUAUAUAAGAGAGAAAAUUAGACUUGCAGCAAAUUGAUGUAGUGACUGUAUAUUUAUAUGGUCCACUGGAUAAUGAAAGUACUAGAGGGUAUUGAGCUGAAAGAACAGCAAGUUCUCGAGAACAAUAUUGAUAAUCAUCAAAGUAUAUGAUCUGAAUAUCCUAGGAACCCCUGGAUUCAAUUUCUCAAACAGUUGAAUAUCUCAAGAAAGAGUUUGAGAUGAAAGAUCUUGGAAAACAAAGUUUUGUUUGAGAUUACAGCUUGAGUACAUUAACAAUGAAAUCCUUGUGCAUCAAAUAGUAUAUACAGAAAAGGGUACUCAAGAGAUUUAAUAUGGACCAGUCUCACACAUUAUCUAGUACAUGGGCGUGAGAUCACUUGUUUUGGACACUGAUCCAUUCAGUCCAAAGGUGGACGAUAAAGAAGUCCAUUUAGUCCUGAGAUGGACGAUACAUAAGUCUUGUUUUAGACACUGAUCUGAUUGGUCCAUAAGAAGGACGAUGAAGAAGCCUUUGAUUUUGGUUUAUUUUAUACUAACCAGCCCAAAGAGGGGUUAUUUGGUUUUGUUGAUUUGUUUUUCAGACAAGUUAUGUUUUACACAUGGUGGUACACGCAUAUCACAGCAACAUCAUCCAAGAUUUCGUGUGUGUGUAUUUGAGGUCGAUGACUCAAUGUGUUCGAUCAGAUUGUGGCAUGACCGAUGGUAAAGAAGAACCAACUAUCAUGUUCGAGGACGAAUCAUAUUCUGCCCAAGAUCUUCAUCACCCACAGAUUGCAGAAAAUUUGAGGGGUCCUAGGGACCUUCAGUAAUGUCCAAAUCAGGGGGAGUAAUGUGUGUUGUACUUUUUUUCCUUCACCAUGGUUUUGUCCCAAUUGGGUUUUCUUGGUAAGGUUUUAAUGAGGCAACAUUAAAGCACAUUACAAGCUCUAAAUGGUUAUGACAUCCAAGGGAGAGUGUUAUGAACCAUAUUGUGGAUGGUUCAUAACCAAGAGAUUAUGAUUUGUAAUCUUUCUAUUUAUCUAUGACGGUGUAAUCUCAUAUAUAAGAAACCUCUAUGUUAUGAAUAAAGAUAGACUUUUCCAUUGCUUUUAUAACAGUUGCAUCUAUUUUUCAAAAUUAACUAUAAUUUUGUUAUAAUUAAAUUAGAGUUCUGAUUAAUUUUGUUAGCUGCAAUUAGUUUGUUUGUUAUCUUAGAUUUGUUAAUAUAUUCUAGUGAAAUUAUACCUGAUUUGAUUUACAUUAAAUUUGAGAGUAAAUUGAAAAAAUAAAUUAAAGCAUAUGAUCGAUUCAUAGAGAAUAACAAUAUUUCCAUACCUCGUGCAUUAUUACAGUAUUAAAUUUUUAUUUAUUUACGUUUUGAGUCAUCCCAUAAGUUUUAUAUAUUAAAUAGUAUAUUAUCAUUGAUAAUAAUAUAUUGCUAUUUUAGUUAUACAUUUGAUUUGAGUUUACAAAUUUGGAUUGGUCCAACUAAUCAUAUCGUGAAUGUAUUGAUUUAAAAAAUUGGUAAAUAUUUGUAAACCCUUGCACAAAUAUCAGUAGUUGGUUAAUAUCUCAAUUAUAUUAUCUAAAAAGUUUUUGCAAUUAGUUAUUAAAAUAGGUUUAUAAUAAAAAAAUAUUUUACUUAUAUUUUCUAAUAUAUAUUUCUUAUAUUAGAAAAUGUCUGUAUUUUAUAGUAUUGAUUGGAUAUAUAGUUACCAACAAACUAAAUGUCUUGGGAUUAUUUUCCAUUUGAAACUUAACAAAAUAUAUAAUGUAUUUACAAUAUCACAUGCUAACAAUAUUUAUCGUGCAUCGACAAAGAGCCGACGUAGUCGAAAUACGAUAAUCUCAAUAAAAUCCCCUGCGGGAGAUCUCAUAACAGGAAACAAAGAAAUUGGUAAGGAAGCUCAACGAUACUAUACUGAUCUUUUUGAGUCUACAAACCCGGGUGAUAUGUCCUCAAUUUUGGACUCAGUUACGAGGGUAGUUACUCCUGAUAUGAAUGCUUUAUUAACGCCAGAGAUAACAGAUGAUGAGGUUAAGAAAAGUGUUUUCUCUAUUGGUAGUCAUCACCUGGACCCGAUGGAUUCUCUGCGAUUUUUUAUAAAACAUAUUGGGAUAUUGUGGGACCUUCGGUGAUCAAAGAAGUAAGGUAUUUCUUUGAAAAUGGCAGAUUCUCAUGUGAUAUCCAUAGGACAAAUCUUUGUCUCAUUCCUAAAGUCCUCCCACCACAAACAAUGAAAGAUUUUCGGCCUAUUGCUUUAUGUAAUGUUAUAUAUAAAGUGAUAUCGAAAAUUCUAGUCAGUCGUUUAAAAUCUAUAUUACCAUAUAUAGUAUCUGAUAAACAGGCAGCUUUCAUUCCGGAAUGACAUAUAUCUGACAACAUCUUACUUGCGAAUGAGGCUUUCCAUUCUUUAAGGGUACGUAAAAGGUGUGCUCAGAAUUACAUGGCUAUCAAAACCGAUAUAAGUAAAGCUUAUGAUCGAAUAGAAUGGAAAUUCUUGGAGGAAGUUAUGAGGAAGAAAGGUUUCUCCGAUACAUGGAUAGAGCUGAUUAUGACAUGUGUGUCUACUUCUUCGUUUUCGGUUUUGAUUAAUUGAAGUUCUUAUGGGAAUUUUACAGCAACUCGAGGGCUUCGUCAAGGUGACCCUUUCUCACCAUCUCUUUUUAUCCUAUACUCUGAUGUACUAUCCUGCCUCUUAACUAAGGCUGAGAUUACUAAUGACAUCCAACCAUUACGACUGAGCAUUGGUGGCCCAUCACUUUCACACCUAUUAUUUGCGGACUAUUCUCUCUAUUUCCUAAAAGCGGAUCUCUCCAACAGCCAAAAUUUGACUCGUAUUUUCCAAGAAUAUGAGAUAGCUUCAGGGCAACAAAUCAACUAUGAAAAGUCUUCUAUCACUUUUGGAUUACAAGUUUUCCAGCACACAAGGGAUGCAAUACAAACACUUACUUCCAUUACAAAUAUCGGUGGUGGUGGUAAAUAUUUAGGCUUGCCGGAGCAGUUUGGCCGUAACAAGAAGGAGUUAUUUAACUUUGUUAAAAAUAACGUGCUACGCAAGACACAAGGAUGGCAAACUCGAUUUUUAACAAUGGCUGGAAAGGAAGUGUUGAUAAAGUCUGUUGCAUAUGCUGUGCCAGUUUUCUCUAUGAACUGUUUCCAACUCUCAGUGGAAUUAUGCAAUGAGAUAGAUAGCAUCAUAUCGUCCUUUUGGUGGGGAUCAACGGGGAAAAAACGUAAAAUGAGCUACGUUGCUUGGAAAAAAAUGACAGUUUCUAAACAGGCAGGAGGAAUGGGUUUUAGAGAAUUACAAAAGUUUAAUCAAGCUCCUUUAGCAAAUCAACUAUGGAAAAUAUCUCAGCGUCCUCAGAGUUUAAUCUUCCGUAUUCUCAAACAUAGAUAUUUUCGCAAUGGAACCAUCUGGGAUGCUACUAAAGGUUGCCAACCUUCCUACGGAUGGAGUUCUUUAUUAUUCGGCCGUGAGCUCCUAGACAAAGGUCUACAAAUGCAAAUAGGGAAUGGAAAAGCUACACGAAUGAAUGAUCACUGGUUACUUACGAUCCCACCUAGAGCUCCUUCUAUUCUCCCUUAUACGAAUCCAUUAUUGGAAGUUUCAAGUUUGAUUGAUCCGGUUACAAAUCAAUGGGAUCAACAACAGCUGACAGAUAGUAUUGAUCUUAAUGAUCAUCAUUUGAUUCAUAUAAUCUAUUUACCACCCAUUCCUCGGUAGAAAUGUUGAGCAGUCUACACAAGCUCAACCUGAAGAGAGCUCUGUAGCUCAUGAUCAAGAUGAGAUGCCAUCAGAAUCAGAUGUUAAGACUCCAGUAGAGGCGCCAAGUGAUGUUAGAAUGAGAGAAUUAUUGAGAGUUUAUUUAUAGAGAAUGAAGAACAUGAAGAACAUAGAGAGAGAGAAAGUAGAUCUCAAGAUGUAAGAGAAAGAAGGAGAGAAUAGUUUUCUUAAUUUAAUUGUGGAUAUGGGUACAAGUAUUUAAAGACAAGUGACCUCAGUACACAAUAUAAUAAAAUAUCUUCUUCUCUUCAAUAAAAUCGAGCUUAUAAAACCCUUAUAAAGCCUUAUAAAACCUUAUAAAACCUUAUAAAGCCUUAUAAAAGCUUUAUAAAACCUUAUAAGUCUGGCAGCUUAAUUCUCAAGUCUGGCAGCUUACUUCUGCUUCAUGUCAACACUCCCCCUCAAGCUUGACCAUAUGGAACAAGUCAAGCUUGGAAGCCAUGAAGUAUUCCCUCAUUAAAACCUCAACUAGGUAAAACCCUUUGGGAGAAAACCCAAGUCAAGGAAAAAUAGUAGAACACUUCAUGAAGGAGAUAUCAGUGACAUGAGAGGUCUAUGAGUCCCAAUUUUGGAUGGAUAAACUCACAGACUUUAGUGCUUGCUGCCUUGGUGAAGAUAUCAGCUAACUGAUCUUCACUUUUAGUAUAGCAGGGUAAAAUGAUUUUUUGCUCCACAGCUUGUCUCACUUUGUGGCAAUCUACCUCUAUAUGUUUGGUCCUUUCAUGGAAGACUCAUGGAAGACUGAGUUGCUAGCAAUGUGUAUAGCAGUCUGGUUAUCACAAUGCAUCGUGAUUGGCGUUGUAACUUCAAUUCCCAAGUCCUUAAGAAGUCUCUUGAUCCAAAUCAACUCGCUUGUGAGCUUCCUCAUAGCUCUAUAUUCUGCCUCAGCACUUGAACAAGACACCACCUUCUGCUUCUUGCUCUUCCAUGUUACCAAAUUGCCUCCAAUGAAGGUACAAUAUCCAGUAGUUGAUCUCCUAUCAACUCGAUCUCCUGCCCAAUCCGCAUCACAGUACCCAACAAUCUCAGUGCUUCUAUUGCAUCCCAUCCAUACUCCUUGGCCUGGUGCCUCUCUUAGGUACCUGAUAAUCCUCUCAACCAUGUUCCAGUGGUGUACCUUGGGAGCUUGCAUGUGUUGGCUUACUUGGUUUACUGCAAAGCAUACAUCUGGUCGGGUAAUGGUAAGAUAAAUGAGUUUUCCCACCAUUCUCCUAUAGUGAUUUACAUCUUCAUAUGACUUGUCUUCAAUCUCCCCCUCACGCAUCACUUUGUAUCCUUCCUCUAGAGGUGUUUUGGCAGCUCUUCCACCAAGAUCUCCAGCCUCAUUUAGUAAGUCAAGGGUGUAUUUCCUUUGAGAUAGAAACAACCCUUCCUUAGACCUACACAUCUCGAUCCCUAGGAAGUAUUUGAGCUCUCCCAAGUCCUUGAUAUCAAAUGAAGCCUUAAGGAAGGUUUUGGUUGAGAUGAUCCCUUCUUUGUCACUGCCUGUGAUGAUAAUGUCAUCAACAUAGAUGAGAAUGACAAUGAUUCCUUCCUGGCUAGUGAGGGUGAAUAGGGUAUGAUCAGCUUCAGACUUGACAAAACCUCUUCCAUUGAGUGUGGUGCUUAGUUUGUGGUACCACGCUCUUGGUGAUUGUUUCAAACCAUAGAUGGCUUUCUUCAGCCUCAAUACAUUUCCUGGUUUGGUAAGGUGUUCCAUACCAGGUGGUGGUCUCAUGUAGACCUCAUCUUCUAACUCUCCUUGUAGAAAAGCAUUCUUGACAUCCAUUUUCCACAGAUCCCAUUCUAAGUUCACAGCCAAUGAGAGUACAAUCCGUAUCGUGUGAAGCUUAGCUACUGGUGCAAAGGUGUCAAGGUAAUCUUCACCAUAGACUUGAGUGUAGCCUCUUGCAACAAGUCUUGUCUUCUUUCAUUCUGGUUUUCCAUUGGCUCCAUACUUGAUAGUGUAGAGAAGCCGGCUUGUCACUGCCUUCUUUCCUUUUGGAAGUUCAGUCUCAAACCAUGUAUCAUUCUUGAUCAUGGCUCCCAUCUCAUCUCAAACAGAUUCUCUCCACUCCUUGUGUUGCAUAGCUUCUUCAUAUGUUCUUGGAAUGUAUUCCUGAUCCAAUUCACUGAUUAAGACUUGAUGAUCUUCUGGAUAUUGAGCAAGGGAGCAUACUGCACUUAUUGGGUGAGCUACAGCUUCAGCAUUGAAAUAAACUUCUGUGUUGAUCCACUGUGAGGGUUUCCUGAUCCUUGUACUCCUUCUCAUCAGUUGUAUCUGCUCAGGUUCUGCUUCAUUUCUUUCACUUGGCGCCUCUACUUGAGUCUUAACAUCUGAUUCUGAUGGCAUCUCAUCUUGAUCAUGAGCUACAGAGCUCUCUUCAGGUUGAGCUUGUGUAGACUGCUCAACAUUUCUACUGCCCCCCCUCAUGAUUAGGAUGAGUGCUCUCAACACUAUCAACUGCAGUAGAUGAUAAAUUUUCAGGGACAGGUUCCACACUUGGUAAAGAGGGCAUACUGAUUCCCAGGCUCUCCAUUACUCCCCUAAGGUUAUUUGCUCUAUCUGAGGCUGAUUGAGAAAGAUCUUUGAGCUCAUCCCAACUCUUUCCAUUAUAAUAGCCUCUAGAUUCUGCAAACUUCACAUCCCUCGAGACAAGAACCCUUCUUGACUCUGGAUCAUAGCACUUAUACCCCUUCUGAGUUGGAGAGUAACCAAUGAACAUAGCUUUUGAGCUUUUAGCAUCAAGCUUGUUCCUCAGCUCCCCAGGUAUCAUCACAAAACAGAGGCAUCCAAACACACGCAAAUGGUCCAAAGAUGGUUUGGUCUUAUUUAGAACCUCAAAAGGAGACAUGUCGUUGAGGACUUUAGUUGGAGUUCUAUUGAUCAGAUAAGUAGCAGACAUCACAGCAUCACUCCAGAAUCUUUUUGGAACAUUGGUGUGGAACAUCAUUGAUCUUGCUGCCUCCAUCAAAUGUCUGUUCUUUCUCUCAGCAACUCCAUUCUGUUGAGGAAUGUAAGGACAGCUUGUCUGGUGAGUAAUCACAUGUUGAGCAAGAUAUUGCUUAAAUGCAUGACUUGUAUACUCUCCACCAUUAUCUGACCUUAGAAUUUUUUUCAUCUUGGCAUUGAAAUGGUUGCAGAUAUAGAUCUAGAAAUUCUUGAAUGCAUCCAACACCCUGUCCUUAGACGGAAUCAGUGUCACCCAAGUGUAUUUGGAUUUCUCAUCAAUGAAGGUGACAAAGUAUUUGUGGUUCUCUCUGGACACACAUGGAGCAGUCCAUACAUCAGAGUGAACUAGGUCAAAACAUCUUUCAUAGAUGGUGCUAGACUGUGAGAAGACUGUUCUACAAUGCUUACCCAAUAUGCAAGCUUCACAAUCAUCAUUCUUGAAGACCACACCUGGAAGCAUCAAGUUUAGGGCUCUUGUAUGAGGAUGUCCCAACCUAGCAUGCCAUAGUGUGCUAUCAACCCCGCUGGAUGUACUAGCCAAACACUGAGAAGCGGAUGGUCUAGACAUCUCUGUCUUCUGAAGAUGAUAUAGUUCAUUGUGAACGUGCCCCUUUCAAAUCACUUGGCCUGUCUUUAAGUCUUGAAAUUCAACCUCAUCUGAUCUGAAGACAACCUGAUAACUCAGAUCAACAGUAGCCUUUCUCACAGAUAGUAAGUUUGAUGUAAACUGAGGCAUAUACAAGGCAGUAGAUUCCCUAUCAAACAACCUCAGGUUCCCUAUCCCUUCUAUCUUAAUCUUAUCACCAUUUGCUAUUUGAACAUUCCCUGAGGAAGGCUGGACAUCACUCAUCAAGUUUCUAUCACUAAUCAUGUGAUGGCUUGCUCCUGAAUCUAUAAUGAUAGGUUUAGGGUCAAGAGAGUGUGUACCAGCCUUCUUGAAUGAGAUAAAGGCUUGGAUAAGGGAAUGUAGGUCACUCAUGGUUGCUGGACCAUCAGUGUUGGCUGCACUAUCAGUACUUCUCCAUGUUCCUUCUUCAUUUGAACCACCAAUGACAGAUGAAUACAUGGUUCGACCUUGAAUCGAUGGAUGCUCAAACUCUUUGAUUACAUUCCUGGCUUGAUUCAAGUCACUUCUUCUUGGCAUAUUGUGGUUCUUAUGUUGUUCCUUAGCCUUCUUGUACUCUGGAAACAACACCAUGUUGGAGUUCUCCCUCAUGGAGAGAUAUGGACCAGUGGACAAUAGAUUGUUCCUACUGAUUUUGAGAUAAACUGGACUUUGAAGAAGCUUUUCCUGAUAUGGUUGAAGCUUUUUUGAGUUCUAGAGAAUAGGGUAUUCCUCUAUCUUGAGUUCUGGUGAGGUUCUUCCCUUUUGAAAGACCUUUGGACCAGUGGAUAAAAGGAUGUAUCCAACAGAUUUGAAGAUAAUCUGAGAAAGAAAGAAAGAAAUUUGCGGAAGCUUUUGUGAGUUUCAGGAGCUUAAUGCUCUGAUACCAUGUUAGAAUGAGAGAAUUAUUGAGAGUUUAUUUAUGGAAAAUGAAGAACAUGAAGAACAUAGAGAGAGAGAAAGUAGAUCUCAAGAUGUAAAAGAAAGAAUGAGAGAAUAGUUUCCUUAGUUUAAUUGUGGAUCUGGGUACAAGUAUUUAAAGACAAGUGAACUCAGUACACAAUAUAAUAAAAUAUCUUCUUCUCUCUUCUUCUUCUCUUCAAUAAAAUCGAGCUUAUAAAACCCUUAUAAAGCCUUAUAAAACCUUAUAAAACCUUAUAAAAGCUUUAUAAAACCUUAUAAGUCUGGCAGCUUAAUUCUCAAGUCUGGCAGCUUAAUUUUCAAGUCUGGCAGCUUAAUUCUCAAGUUUGACAGCUUAAUUCUCAAGUCUGGCAGCUUACUUCUGCUUCAUGUCAACAUCAUCAACAAGAUAUCGUCGUGUGGAGUUACACUCGAGGUGGUAACUAUACAGUUAAAUCAGGCUAUCAUAUGAUGACAUCAGACACUCUCUCAGACGUGAAUCCCGACCUUGCAAAAAAUAUAUGGUCUGUUGAUGCACCACCGAAACUAAAGCUUUUCCUUUGGAGGCUACUAUCUAAUGCUCUUGGUCUGUGGAUCCGAUUUGUUCACGAUGUUGUUCAGAAGAAGAAACCAAAGAUCACCUCUUUUUUGGUUGUCCUUAUGCAAUUAUGAUCUGGCAUUUAACUGGGAUACCUAUCACUUUUUUACAGCAACGAGAUAUCCAGUUUGAAGAUAAAAUAAGAUACUUAUUAAAGAUUAUGGGAGAUGCGACUAUACCAAGAUCAACACGUCUGCUACCUAUUUGGACGUUAUCGAGAUUAUGGAAAUGCAGGAAUGAUUUAUUGUAUUCAGCUAAGGAUCACCCCAUUAACAAAUGUUUUGAUUCCAUUAAUGCUGAUAUAGUUGAGUGGGUGAGUAUUGUGAGUCUGCUCCCUUCUUCAUCUGCUGGGAAUGGAAUUUCUUCGGAACAAAUUCCGAAAUGGCAACCACCACCUGUGCACUACAAGAAAACAGCGACAUACUGAGGGAAAAAAUCGUCGGUAUGUCGUCGGAAUAACGUUAUUCCGACGACAUACCGACGAAACAAGUCCUCGGAAAUAAUUCCUCGGAAAUUCAUUUUUCCUCGGAAAUCCCUCGGAAUUUUCCGACGGAAUUCCGAGGAAACAAAUUUCCGAGGAAAUUCCGAGGACCACCAGUUCGUCGGAAAGCACCUCGGAAUAUACCGAGGGAGAGCUUCCUCGGGAUAUUUCGAUGGAUUUUCCGAUGGUCCAAUCCUCGGAAGUUCCGACGAAAUGUUCCUCGGAAAAUUCCGAGGAACGAUGUCCCUCGGAAUAUUCCGAGGUAUAUUUCCCUCGGAAUAUUCCGAGGAACAUGUCCCUCGGUAUAUUCCGAGGAACGGUGUCCCUCGGUAUAUUCCAAUGAACGGUGUCCCUCGGUAUAUUCCGAGGAACAUGCCCCUCAGUAUAUUCCGAGGAACAUGUCCCUCGAUAUAUUCCGAGGGACCCCGUUCCUCGGAAUUUUUAAAAAAUUAAUUUUUUUUAAAAAAUAAAAUUUUUGAAAUUUAAAUUCGAAAAUAUAUAAAUAAAAUUAAAAUUGAAAUCAUUAAAAUUAAAAUUAAAAUUAAAAUUUAAAUUCAAAAAUAUUCAAAGUUUCACAAAUAAAAAUAAAACAUUCCGAGUUUUUGGAAAAAAAAAACUACGGGUUUGGCACGUCCGGGAACACCUCGUUCGGGUACAUCCUCUGCAUCAUCUCCAUCAUUUGCUGGUUCAGCCUCCUCUGUGCCUCAUAGCCCGCCUGUUGAGUCGUCAUCUGGGUCUCCAACAAAGAUAUGCGAUCAUCCUUGUCCUUCAACUGAGCCGUAAGUACUUCUGGAUCAACAAAGGGCGGUGGUGCAGAAGAAGGAGGAACCGACCGGGUGCGACGACCCAAACCGACCAAACGUCCCUUCUUCUUUGGAACCGACUGAAAUAGAAAAUAGCCAAAUUUAAGUCAAGAAAUAAAUGAAUUAAACUUAAAAAAAAAGAACUUACGGAUUCAACGAUUUCGUUGAUUCGAAACCGGGACAAGUUGGUCGAAGCCGUCGAAGCGUCAUCCUCGGUUUGAAGCUGAGACACUUCGUCCUGCACCUGAUUUUGGACCAGGGUGACCACUUCCCUCACAAGACCGUCAUCAAUCUGGCCGGUCUUCUUGUUGGUAUACGCCCUCUUCAUUAGGGCGAGAUCAUCAACCGGCUCGCCAUCAUUUUCUUCCGCCUUGAAAAAAACAUAAAUUAAAGAAACAUUAGAAAUUAGAAGAAAUGCACAAAAAAAUAAAAUUUCAAAAUUUAAAUAAUUGAAGAAAAAACGACUGAACUUACCAUGCGAUCUCCCAGAGAGGCAAUAGAUUGAGCACCCAAGUUAUGCGUGAAGACGCCCUUCCCUUUACGGUCGCUCCUGCGGUUGGUGGAGUUGGUGGAAGAAGUUUCUUUUGUCUCUUCCUUAUCCCAAUGCGCACACAACUCCGUCCAGACCGUGUUGUUUAUCGACUUUGGGACCUUUUAGUAAAAAAAAAAAAAAAUAGUUAAAUAAAUUAAAAAAUCGUUUAAUAAAUUUAAAAAAUUAUUUAAUAAAUUAAAAACAAACCUUGUUGAUUUCCCACUUCUUCUUCCACUCGUGGAUCUGCUUCCCAUAGUUGUCCAUAACUUUAUGGACGAAGUGGUGAUAGAUAAAAAGCGUCUCAUCGGAAUUCCAGUUGAACUCUUGCUGAAAAAAAAGCACAAUUAGUAGAAAAUUUAUAGUAAAGAUUAAAAAUAUAAGUAAAAAAUUAGAAUACUUACCGCAAACUGACGAAACCACAGAUGCUGCUUGUCGGUAGGGAAGUGAGUGAAAGUCGGAUGUCCCCUGUCGAGGGCCGAGUACAUCAUACGGUUGAUCCAUGUGCUGAUCCCGUUCCCGGAUCGGUUGAGCCUAAUAAAAAGAACAAACAGUUAAUAAUGAAUCAAAUUUUAAAGAAAAAAAAAUAUGUUUAAUUACCAUGUUUGCCCCCUCCAUGUGGAUAUGGAGUGAGAUAGGGAAGAUGGUCACGACCGGGCUGUCGAACCAACUCCGCAACACUCAUCACUCCCGGAGGACCCGGAGGAGCAGGAGCGGGUGCAGCAGCGGGAGCGAGAGGAGCAGGAGCGGGUGCAGCAGAGGGAGAUGUAUGGUAGGAGCUGUGGGGCGAAGGGGAAUCCUGAAAAUGGCUGGAAUCCCGAGACUGGCUCCCCGUACCACCACGACCACGACGCUGUCGAGGCCUGGUCUGAUCAUCAUGAGACCUGUAAAUUAAAAAAAAUAUAUUUAAUAAAUAUAGAAAUAUAUAAAUUAUUUUUUUUAAAAAUCUCAAAUAAUAGUUUUUAAUCACAAAAAAAGUUUUAUAGAUAUUAAAAAAUGUUUUGUAAAAUCCAAAAAAUUGAAUUUAUAUACAAAAAACGUUUUGUAAAAUCCAAAAAUCGAAUUUAUAUACAAAAAUCGUUUUGUAAAAUACAAAAAUCGAAUUUAUACACAAAAAUCGAAUUUAUAUAUAAAAAUUGAUUUUAUAAAUACAAAAAAAAAUAUAAAAAAAUAUAAAAAAAUUCUAAAUCAAUUCAACAAAACAAAUUAUUCAACCAAAUCACAAUUCUAAACCUAUUAUACAACCAAAUCACAAUCAUAACCAAUCACCCUAACAAAAAUCUAUAGAAUCUACACAAAAACCUAACAAAUAGAACCUAAGAGAGUGGGGUAAGGUCCUUACAUGAUUUGUGUAAGAGAAGGGGGAGAUCGCCGGAGAUAUCGUCGGAAUUCAGGGGGAAAUCGCCGGAGAGGAAAGAGGAGCCGCGCAGAGGAAGAAGAGAGAAAUGGGGAAGAAGAAGCGGCUCGUGGUUAUAAAACCUAGGGUCCGACGGAUACUAUCCGUCGGAAUUCUAAUUUCAAUUUUCGCGAAAUAUUUGCCCGGUUAAAUGAAAAUAUUCCGUGGAAAUUCCGACGGAUACUAAAAUAUCCGUCGGAAUUCCGUCGGAAUAUUCCGAGGAAAUACCGAGGAACUAGUGUUUGGGGUUUCAAAACAUCAAUUUUUUUUGCCGUAUUUCAUUUCUUAUACAUUUGUAAUGCAUACCAUUGAGGAUUCUUUGUAUAGAUGAUCAUAAACCAUGAAAUAACAAAUUUCAAAACGAAUUGAAAGUAUUCCCUUUACCGUUUAUUAAAGUGUAUAAGUGUUUUGUGUGGAUUUCGUUCAUACAAUCGGAAAAGUGUUUAUUAUAGGGUAAGGAACAAAUUUUUGACUUCAUAAUCAGUCUAAGACACUUAAUAAGGGUUAUAUAAGUGUUAUUCAAACCGCAAAACGUUGUUUUCGGUUUAAAAACCCUAUUUCCUCGGAAUUUCCUCGGAAUGUUCCGAGGGAAUUCCGAGGAAACCCUUAUCUUCCUCGGAAUUCCGUCGGAAUAUUCCGAGGAAAUACCGAGGAACUAGUGUUUGGGGUUUCAAAACAUCAAUUUUUUUGCCGUAUUUCAUUUCUUAUACAAUUGUAAUGCAUACCAUUGAGGAUUCUUUGUAUAGAUGAUCAUAAACCAUGAAAUAACAAAUUUCAAAACGAAUUGAAAGUAUUCCCUUUACCGUUCAAUAAAGUGUAUAAGUGUUUCUCUUAUGUUGUGGGGAUUUCGUUCAUACAAUCGGAAAAAUGUUUAUUAUAGGGUAAGGAACAAAUUUUUGACUUCAUAAUCAGUCUAAGACACUUAAUAAGGGUUAUAUAAGUGUUAUUCAAACCGCAAAACGUUGUUUUCGGUUUAAAAACCCUAUUUCCUCAGAAUUUCCUCUGAAUAUUCCGAGGGAAUUCCGAGGAAACCCUUAUCUUCCUCGGAAUUCCGUCGGAAUAUUCCGAGGAAAUACCGAGGAACUAGUGUUUGGGGUUUCAAAACAUCAAUUUUUUUUUGCCGUAUUUCAUUUCUUAUACAAUUGUAAUGCAUAUCAUUGAGGAUUCUUUGUAUAGAUGAUCAUAAACCAUGAAAUAACAAAUUUCAAAACGAAUUAAAAGUAUUCUCUUUACCGUUCAUUAAAGUGUAUAAGUGUUUCUCUUAUGUUGUGGGGAUUUCGUUCAUACAAUCGGAAAAGUGUUUAUUAUAGGGUAAGGAACAAAUUUUUGACUUCAUAAUCAGUCUAAGACACUUAAUAAGGGUUAUAUAAGUGUUAUUCAAACCGCAAAACAUUGUUUUCGGUUUAAAAACCCUAUUUCCUCGGAAUAUUCCGACGGAAUUCCGAGGAAACCAUUAUCUUCCUCGGAAUUCCGUCGGAAUAUCUAUUAAAAAAAAAAAAGUCGAUGCUAGUCUGUUUCCGAGUCAUCAUCACCAGAUGAAUCUGAAUCUGGAUCUUGGUGAAACUCUCCAAUCACUGGUUCAUCCUCUACGUGAACGACGGCUUCCUCUCCGAAGUCGGUUAAAUCGACUACAAGGCCAACUCCAGCUAAAUCUUCUGCUGCACUUAAGUUGCCGGAUGUGCUUGGUUGUAGUGGGUCUUCCAGCUCAGAACUUUCCUGAACUCGGCCUCUCGGGUUGAGUCUUGUAACAGUAACCCAUGGAUCAUCUAUGUUCCUUACCCGGGGGUACUUGAUAUAACAAACCUGUAACAUUUAAAAAAUUAUUAGUAAAAUUAUAAAUUAAUACACAUAAUGAUGAAUCAUUCUAAAUAAUUGAUAUUUAAUUACCUGAUCGGUCUGAGAAGCAAGAAUGAAAGGAUCAUAAUAUUGCAGCUUUCGCCUCGAAUUUACUAAUGUAACACCAAAUGCAUCUGUUCUCACACCUCGAUCUAGAGUGUUGUCGUGCCAAUCACAAUAGAAAACAGUACAGCGCAAUCCAACCAUGCCCAAAUACUUGAUUUCCAAAAUCUCAUGUAUGUGUCCGUAGUAUACAUCAUCUCCUGAUGCAGAACAAACGGCAGCAUCAUAAGUCGUACUCGAACGUCUCCUCUUCUGAGUUGUGAAUGCAUAUCCUCGAGUACAAAAUCUCAGAUAUGACUUCACAACAAAUUUUGGUCCAACGACCAUCUCGCGUAUCCAAUCGUCAAAUGUUUCACCUCUGGCCAAACCAGCAGACACCUAUAUUAAUAGCACAUAUAUAUGUUAUAUCAAUAAAUGUGAAUUAGUAUAAAUAUGUGAUAAAUGAUAUUUUAAUUUGUUUAAAGCACUCACAUAAGUAAACAUCCAUCCAGAAAAUUCUCUAUGCUUCAUUUCUUCUAGCUCGUCCUCUGUGGCGUAUCUAUAUUCGAACCGCUUUUCUGCCAUGAAAAUCCUGUACAUAUGAUGACAAUAAUGUAAUUAAUUAAGAUUUAAAUUUCAAUUUGUUAAAAUAAAAAUUUGUAAGCUAAUUUAUUUACCUCUCAUAUUGAAGAACAUCUUCACAGUUGGUGAGCAAAUAUGUUUGCAAAUUACUGCGCUCCUGCUCAGUAAGUCGACGGUCCUUUGCUUUUCCGCUAAGUCGUCCAACGUCUGUGAAAAUGUCUGGAACCGUAACAUGAUAUGUUGCCCGUUCACCUCUAUCAUCAUGCCGAGCAGGUCUUAUAUUUUUGGUCUGAACUUCUGCUGGAAAGUAGUACUCGUCAAAGUUUGAAGUUUCUUCAUUGAUCAUCUGUGCGACUAUAGAACCUUCCACCCUACUUAAAUUUUUCACCAUCUUCUUCAAAUGGAACAUAUACCGCUCAUACAGAUACAUCCAUCUAUACUGCACAGGACCACCAAGUUCCAAUUCUCUUGCCAGGUGAAUAACAAGAUGCUCCAUAACAUCAAAAAAUGAGGGAGGAAAUAUCUUCUCAAGGUUGCACUGAAUCACGGCUAUGUUAGUCUUCAAAUUUUCAAUACCUUCAAGAGUCACUGAUCUCGUGCAUAAAUUGCGGAAGAAACCACUUAUCCCUGCAAUUGCUUCAUGAACAUUUCGUGGUAAUAGUUCCUUGAAGGCAAACGGAAGGAGGCGCUGCAUCAUUACAUGGCAAUCGUGGCUUUUCAAGCCAGUAAACUUUCCUUCCUUUCUGUCGAUACAGUUGCGCAAAUUUGAUGCGUAACCGUCUGGAAAUUCCACAUCGUUUGAAAUCCAAUCAAAGAACGCAUCUUUUCCCUCUGCAUCAAGUCGGUAUAUGGGAAAAGGAGCCCUACCAUUCUCAUCAACAUGAAGUUCUGAACGAGCACAUAUAUCGACUAAAUCCAGUCUUGACUUCAAAUUAUCAUUUGUUUUACCUUGAACAUUAAGGAUCGUGUUCAUGAGAUUGUCAAAAAAGUUCUUCUCAAUAUGCAUGACAUCUAAAUUAUGCCUUAGCAGAUGAUCCUCCCAGUAUGGCAGAUCCUAGAAAAUAUUUUUUUUGUGCCAGUUAUAUAUGUAGGUCUCCAACAGCAUCUACCGGAAAACGCUCAUGUCCACCGACGUCUGGCGUCCUUUCUGCACCAAAAUCUCUUAGUUGUAUCUUCAAAUCUUUCCCACAAAUUUCCGGAGGUGGACUGUCAAACACCCUCUUGUUCUUCGUAAACAAAUUCCUACUCCUACGAUAUGGAUGAUCAGGUGGUAGGAAUCUCCUGUGACAGUCAAACCAACACGUUUUCCUUCCGUGUUUUAGUUGGAAAGCAUCAGUGUUAUCUUGACAAUAUGGACAUGAUAGCCUUCCAUGCGUUGUCCAUCCAGAUAACAUACCAUAUGCUGGAAAAUCACUUAUUGUCCACAUUAGUACUGCCCGAAUUUGAAAGUUUUCUUUACACGAAACAUUGUAUGUUUCAGCACCUUGAGCCCAUAGUUGUUGCAACUCAUAUAUUAGUGGCUGAAGAAACACAUCAAGUGAUCUCUUAGGAUGCUCUGGUCCGGGAACGAGAAUCGAGAGAAACAAAAACUCUCGUCGCAAGCACAAGUUUGGAGAUAGGUUGUAUGGUGUAAGAAUGACGGGCCAUAGAGAAUACUGUCUUCCACUCUUGCCAAACGGGCUGAAACCAUCAGUACAUAAUUCAAGGUAGACAUUUCUUCUCUCAUACGCAAAGUCGGGAUACUUUGAUUGGAAAUGCUUCCACGCUUUUGCAUCUGAAGGAUGUCUAAUCUCACCAUCUGUUGAGUGCUCCGCAUGCCAUCUCAUUGGUUGCGCUGUGUGUUCAGACAGAUACAACCUCUGCAACCUUUCCGUCAAAGGCAAAUACCACAUCCUUUAUAUGGCACUGGAACUCUUCCACUCGUAUCUUUAUAACGAGGCUUUCCACAAAAUUUGCAUGUAACCCGCUGUUCAUCCGCCCUCCAAUAAAUCAUGCAGUUGUCGCUGCAUACAUCUAUUACCUGAUACGAUAAACCAAGACCAGCUACGAGUUUCUGAACCUCGUAGUAUGAACCAGGAGCUACAUUAUCCUCGGGUAGAAUACCUUUUACAAAAUCAGCAAUCGCAUCCACACAGUCUUCAGCCAAAUUAUAAUCUGUUUUAAUGCCCAUCAAUCUUGUAGCAGAUGAUAAAGCUGAAUGACCAUCUCUGCAACCUUCGUACAAUGGUUGCUUUCCAGCAUCCAACAUAUCAUAAAAUCUCCUAGCUUGUGCAUUGGGUAAAUCUUCCCCUCUAAAAUGAUCAUUUACCAUCUGCUCAAUACCUACACCAUAAUCUACAUCCGUUCUAAUUGGUUCUUCUAAUCUAACCGCUGGCUGAGGUUCGCUAGUACUACCAUGUUCAUAAUCAGUUUCCCCAUGAUGAUACCAAAUUUUGUAACUUCGUGUAAACCCACUCAAAUAUAGAUGAGUCCAAACAUCCCACUCUUUAAUAACCUUUCUAUUUUUACAAUUAGAGCAAGGACAUCUUAACAUACCUGUUUUUGCUUCUGGUUGUCGGUGAACUAACCCCAUGAAUUCGGUUAUACCUCGUUGGUAUUCUUCCGUAAGCAAUCUCGUGUUCGGAUCCAAAUGAGGUCGAUCGAUCCAAGAACGAAAAUAAUUGGAAGAAGACAUGUUUUUUAUGAAUCAAAUUCGUGUGUAAAGAGAGUAAGAGGGAGGAUGAAGAUAUGGAGUGAAUGAAGAGGAAGAGGGGUGCUUGUAUUUAUAGUUGAAAUCCUACCGACAGCCCGAAGAAAUUCCGACGGAAUUCCGACGCCAACGGCUAGUUCGUCGGAAUUUCCUCAGAAUUUUAAAAUCCCCCAACGGCUCUCUAACGGCUAAAAUAUAUCCUCGGAAUUCAUCGGUUUUUUCCGAGGAAUACGUUUUUCCUCGGUAUUCCAUAAGAAUAUUCCGACGGAUUAGUAUUUCCUCGGAAUUCCCUCGGUAUAUUCCGAGAAAAUUCCGAGGAAACCAAAUUUUGUGUUUCCUCGGAAUUUCCUCGGAAAUUCCGAAGGAUAUUUCGAGGAUUUCAUUUUCCGUCGGAAUGUCCGUCAGAAUACCGCUGUUUUCUUGUAGUGGAGGGAUGGGUUAAAUGUAACUACGAUGCCUCGCUAACACAAUAUCAGACAUCUGGAAUGGGCUGGGUCAUCCGGAACUCACAUGGUAUUUUUCUAAACUGUGGAGUGGGUAAAUUUGAAGGACGACAUGCAGUGGAGGAGGCUGAGGCCCUAGCUCUAAUAUGGUCAAUGCGCGCAAUGUGCUUGGUCAUUGGGGUAUCGUCGAAUAAUAUUUGAAGGUGAUAACUUUAACCUGUGUCAACAUUUACUGAAGCAUUCAAGUGUUCCUAAACUCCGUAUCUUCCUUACAACAAUAGAUGCAUGGAAGCAACAAUUUACAUCCACGGCUUUUCAACAUACGCGACGACAAGGAAAUACAGUUGCUGAUAAAUUAGCCAAAACAAUUAUCUUACAAAAUCAAGCUUGGAGCUUGUUCCAUACUUGUCCGUCUUUCAUAAAACAGUUUGUAAAUUCUGAUCAAUAAAAUCAUUGAGAUGGCAAAAAAAAAAUAGUUUGCUUAUAUUUUACUUAUAUUUUAACUUUACUUAUAAUUUCCAAUAUAUUACUUAUACUUUAUAAUAAAUAGGCUUAUUAGUGAUCUUAAGUAUAAAUCUCUAACAGACCUCUUUACUUAUACCAUGUUUUAUUUAUAUUUUGUAAUAUUUGUUAUGCUGCUUAAGAUUAUUUUCAAAAUAAAUGUUACUUUAUCUUUUUGAAACGACACACUAAAUUUUGGUUUUGGAUUUUUUAGUUUGAGUAACCAUGUAAUCCUCUUACACACAUGUGCAAAUCAAUUACCUCUCUAAUAAUAUACAAUCAUUCAGUCCAACUUCUAUAGGUGUAUCCAGAGCUAAAGACACCUAAAAUUCACUGUUUGAUUGAUGUAUGUAUGUUAGAGAAGAGAUUUUAUAUACCACGAGUCAGUAGCAAGAAUAGUUGUCUGUGACAGUACAACACCACAAAAGUACUUAGGAAUUACGCUGUAGAACAAAGAACCAUGUGGGAGGUUCUCAUGGCAACCCAAAAUUGAUUUUUUGGAGGUUGCCAUGGAGUGAGAACAUUCAGUUACACCGUUUGCCUUCCUCCACCCACGGGGGCAUAGAUUGCAGUCACAUUUGUAGGGUUUCUUGUUUGAGUAGAAGAAGACGUAAAUUAUUUUUCCCUUAUCAACUUCUGAUGCGCCUUUUGUUCCUCUAGUAGCAUAGGUAGGUUCCUCAGCUCCUGCUGCUUCACUCACGACACUCCAUGUCAGAUCAUCAUUGUUAAAGACAUGAUCAUCUUGAUCAUUAUUGUCAGAGUUCCCUUCCAUUUUUCCCAUCAACUAUUCAUUAAUAUCAUCAAUCUAUUCUAAGAGAAUAGGAUCAGUGCUAUCACUUCUCUUCAUACGACGUUGCAAGGUUCGGUUGUACUUAACAAACACCAUGUCAUUCAAGCGAUGUUGAGCUAAUCGGUUCAUUCUCUUUGUGUGAAGCUAUAAAUAUUAGAACAACAAACAGUUAGUGAACUUAGGAAACAAUCUAACUACAAAAUAAGAUGAAUCUAACAGACUUACAAGCUCAAAAACGCCCCAAUUUCUUUCACAUUCGGAUGCACUUCAAAUUAAACUAAGUACUUUCACAGCAAAGUCUCUUAGAUCAGGAGCUGAUGAUCCAUAAGUAGACCACCAAUCAGCUAUACAAACACAAAUUGAAAGUGAUUAGUUUAAAUAAGUUAAACUAAGUACUUUCACAGAAAAGUCUCCAACCAAUUCCAUUUCUCUCUCUCACUUUCUGUUCGAAAUCCCCAAUUUAUUAGCUUAGAACCCUAACUAAUUGAUUUGGGGAAAUUAGAGUUGUGUCUCGUAAGGUUUAAUAAGUUGGGCCGGGUUUUCUUAAAACUCAACAAGAUCACCCCCAUGAAUCGUAAACCUAAUCUGACUGAAUGACGAAGAGCUCUUUGUGUGGUCUCACUUUACCACCAUCUCCUAGACCCACCCCCUUACUGUCUGUUUGGGAUUAAUUUCAAUUAAUUACGGAUUGAACCCUUUCAUUAAUCUUAAAUCACUAAACCUGAUUAUGUAGUUUCCACCAUAUUAUUUUUCUUCGUACAUGCGGCAUGAAUUAACAUAAACAUAGUGACGUUAUUAACAUAUUUUCAUACUUUUGAUGUUUUCCACCAUAUUUUAUGAUACUUGAUGUAGCUGGUAAAUUUUUUUCCAAAUAAUAGCCAAAUCUUAAAUGGUAGAGUUGGCAAUACUGAAGAAUAUAUAUGAUUUAAAGAAAACAGAACUGAAACUGUUACAUGCCUUUUGAUUGAAGCACUAAUAAAUGGACUUUAUGAGUGUUGUGGGACGAAGGCUUUGAAGAGAGAAAACCGAAACAUAGAAAAUGGCUGGUUGAGGAAGACGAAAGCGAAGCAUUGAGUCGAAGAUGAUUAUGAUGGAUUGUAUUUGAAAGAGAUGGACUAAAUAUCAAGAUGACCUUAAAAAUCAAUAUGGAUCCCAUAUGAAUACUAGAAAUAUAAUAUAUUAAUUAAGAGUCUUUAAUUGAAAUUUACCGUGUUAUGUUUUAAAUUUGGAACAAUUGAACAUGUUAUGACUAAAUAUAAAAACACAGUAAUGGGAUGUGAAUAUCUGAUGAUUGUUAAAAAAAUUAAAUUGUAGUGUUAUUGGUUAAUGGAUUCCACCAUUCGUACUAAAAUCUAGUGUUAUUGGUUUUAUGAUUGUUUACUGACUUACAAAAUCUCAAGUUAUUCAAAAAGUUUAGUUUUUAAUGAUUCUAUAAUUCUAUCAAAUUUAGUGUUAUUGGGACUUGAUAGCUUCUAUACAUCACCAGCUAUGGUUUAGAAACGCCAAAAAGCUUAUUAACAUGAAAAAGAAGAGCAAUGGAAAGACUGUUACAUACAAGGGAUUGGAAGUUGUUGUUUGCGAAGACGCUUCUGAGAAGUCUAAAAAGGCUUUUUGGGCAUUUUGCAGAUUGAGUUACGUUCAGGUUGUUAGUUAUUCUCUCUGAAAAUUUGUCGUUUGAUAUCUUCCAUGCUCAUUUAUGGUUUUGGAUUGUGUCGCAGCUUCAUCGGAAGAAGUGGUCUGAAGAUGUUCAGAGCCUUCAACAUGUAACUAGAGGUAUCCUACCAUGACUGGCCUGUGGGAAGUAAUAGUCCUAUCUAUUUAUGAUGAGUUAUAUCAACUAAAGGUACUUUAGUUAAGAAUUUGACAAGAAUCAUUUUAGGUUAGUAUUCAUUCUCUGAUCCUGAAAGGCCUUAACUUUUAUUAUGUAAUGCACAUAGGAGUAGAAAAGCUAAUGAAUUUUAGGUGAAUGAUCUCUGCUUAUUGAGACAACUUGUGUAGAAACAAUUCUCAUGUCAAAUGUUAGAUUUUCUAAAGCUUUUUCUCUUUUCAGAAAAAAACCCAACAUGAAGAGGAUUACACAACAACAUGUUUUGUUAAGAAACCAUGACAGACAUGAAAGCUGGAUCGUUGUUUUUAAGUCUUUCUUUGACGUGUUGGUCUUUAAGGAUGACAGGUAUUAUGAGAUCAUUUAUUUAUGAAAUAAGUUGAGAAACUAUGAGUUUGCUUGAGAUGAAAAUCUUUUUACUUUAUCAAGUUAUCAUUAGUCUUAAGUGGCUUUCUAUCCGAGCGACAUUUCCCUAUUCAAUCCACGUGUUCCAAUUGAACUCUAAGGAUGUGACUGGUGAUCAUCUGGGAAACAAGAAAAACGAAUAAAAAAAAUAAAUAUGGGAAUAAAAUAGCAGGAAUNNNNNNNNNNNNNNNNNNNNGCAGGAAUGAAAAAAAAUAGUUGUUCCUUAUCAAAUUUAACAAAGAAUAAUUUUGUUCUUUAAUUCUCUACAAAAAAAGAGAAUAAAAAGGAAUAAGAGAGAAUUAUUAUUCCUUGUGAAUAGUAAUUUGUUUUAGGAACGUUAGGCAAUACAUUAUUCUUCACCGUUCCCUGGUCACCAUUCAUACCAAUUUUAAUGGAUUACUAAUAGUGUUAUUUAAACCAAACGAAAAUAAAAAUAACUAAACCAAACCAAACUCAUAUUCAUAAAUAACUGAAAGGUUCAUAUAUUUCUUGCAUCAAAAACAAAACCCAACCACGAACCGAAAUCCAAAAAUAUAAUCUAGAACCGAAAAUUUUAUUAAAUAUCGUUAAAUUAUAGAUUUUUAACUUGAAGCCAUAAAAUUAUAAAUAUUACCGCGCGGUUGCGAGGAUCAGAAUGUAGUCUUGGUUUAUAAGUGUGGUUUAUUGAACUCAGAUGGCUUGUCACAUGUAGCUGAGCUGCCAACUCUUCAUUACAUGUUGACGGAUACGCUGUGAAAGCUUUAAAUUAGUGAUUUUUAUAUAGUAGUAUUUUUAUUUUGUUGUCUGAAAUAAAUUUUAAUAUAAAAUAUGAAAUGACUAUAAGAUAUUUCUUUGAUAGACAAUACUUUUCACAAAGAUACUUCAAUAAACGGAACUUUUCUACAUCAUAACAAUGAUGAAUUCCUUUUACUCUUAAUAUGUAGGACUACGACAAACAAAUAUUUUUAUACGUUACCGGAGAUUUCAUGUUAAUUUGUCUUUAUUAAUCACAUUCUUGUAGAUUAAACUUUCAUUUUUUUAAGUAGUAACAUUAAUAAAAUAUUUGGUCCACUACAACAAAUAUGGCUUUUAAUAGCAUACGGAUAACGCUAUUAUAUGGUAUCCAUAGCGGUUUUACAAAUGCUAUGAAAACGACCGCUAUAAUAGAGUCCCUAUAUACGAUAGCGUUUUCGGAUGACGCUAUCGUAGAGUAGCCUUUAAUAGCGUUAUGUUUUCGCUGUGUUACGGUUAUUUAUUACACACAAUUUAUGCUAUAGGAAAUUGUAUAACAGCUAUAUUUAUCUGCUGUAUUAAACCUAUUAAUAGCUAUUAUUUUGUGCUGUUCUAAAUUAUGUAAUAACUUUUUUAUGUUGCUAUAUAUUUUUGUAAAAUAGCUAUAUUCUGUAGCCAUCAAUUACGUUGUAGUAGCUUUACAUUGGUGCUACUUUAUGAUGUGUUGCAGCAGUGGUAUUGAGUUAUGUUCAUAUGAUUUAUAGCAUUUUUUUCGUGAUAUCAAGUGAGUGUAUCAUAACUUAUUUUAUAUGCUAUUUCACCCAUUAAAAUAUGCUAUUUCGCCCAAUAAAUGGUUCACUAUAAAUACACAAAAUGCUCAAAAAGAAGUAAACAAAGUCUGAAAUUUCAUAAUAGAAAUACCAUAUCAUAAUUAAGUUCAAAAGUAAGAACACAAGUGUCAUUUGCACUAAGUACCAUAAGUUCAUAAGUUCUAAAGCAAUGAAAAUAGAAGACCAUACGUUCUUAUUCAUCCUCACACGAUGACAACCUUGUCUUCAGGCCAUGCUAUAGUGGUACCAAUAGCAUCCUCCAUACACUCGAUUGCAGAUGUAGGCCUCCAAACCAUGGCAUCAUCCACCUUGACUACAUCAACCCACACACGAACUGCAUUUUUUCCCAAAGGAACAAAAUGCACUAACUGUUCUGGGUUGUUUGAAGACCAGCGUCCUUCUGCAACAACAACUUUCUGACCGGUAAUGUCGAGCAGUUUGCACUUCUGACCUUCUUUCACAAUCUGUGUAUGAGAAUGAUGUCCAUUAGUGUAACACAUAUGAAAGCAUUACCAACUUUAUUAGAUAUAUCAACACAACCUACACUACUACUUACCUUCCGAGAGCUUGAAGGAGUUUGUGCCACUGGUUUUAAAAUAUUAGCAGGAGCCGGUGGAGUGUGUACUUGUGACUGCGUAAUAGGAGAUUCUGUAGCUGGUGACUCAGAGUUUAAACUGUCGAAUGAAACUCUGCUGAGAGGCCAUGCUACAUACGACUUCAAACAAUCACCGAGGGUUGAGUGUUUUUCUGUUGGCCUCCAAAGAAAAGUCUGAGGUAACGUCACCGCAUCUACAUAUACUUUCACAGCAUUUGGUCCAAGAGGAAGGCCAUCCACCAAGGCUUUGGGAUCACGACUCUCCCAACGACCUUCAGCAACUGUUUCUUCAUCCUGUGUUAACCAAUGUAGAAGUUUGCAGUUGUUCUUCUCUACUGUCUCAGGGCUCUGUCAAAACAAUAAAUUCAACACGUGAAAUACAUUACUAGAUUUUAGAAAACAGAAACUUAGACACCAAAGUGAGAUGAGGACUGAAAACCUUACUUUACCAAGAAUGUGAUCUGGAUCGAUCUCCUCGUCAAGAACAAGAAGAGAAUCUUGAGGCCACGCAACUGUUUCUCCUACAGCCUGACCAAUAGUGUAAAUUUUUGGCGCCGGUCUCCAAAGAAAUGCAUCUACUUCAAUAGCCGUCUCAACUACCACCUUAACUGAAUUAGGGCCCAAUGGCACAUUGUUAACAAACUCCAUUUCAUCCGAUGACAGAAAACGACCCUCGGCUACUUUGCAUUCCUUGUCACACCAAUCAUAUAGGAUACACUUAGGCUGUGGUGUCCAAUUAUUCGUCACACUCUACAAAGAUUAAUCAACACAACAGUUACAUUCCGUUCAAGUUAGUUGAGCAUGAAUCCGAUUUGCACAAGUACUUACUCUUGGUGCUGAAUUCUCACCCUCUUCCGANNNNNNNNNNNNNNNNNNNNNCUUCCGAUUCUGGCCUCUGUAAUUAGAAAAAUAAAUAAGGUUUGUGUUCUUUAAUAAGAAAAAAAAAAUCACAGGAGAGUUGCUCAGAAACACUUACUCGACUAUUCAUUUUAGCAAGAGCCUCUUGCAAUUCUUCGACCUGCUGCUUCAACUUAUUUUGUGUCUGUUGCAUUUCAGUCACAUACUUGUUCUUCACUUCGAAAAAAGCCAGUUUGCUCACACUCAUUCCUCUACCCAUAGCCCUCAAUCGUCCAGGAUUGUCAGGUCCCAAGAUCUGAGUAAGAGUAUCUUCUUUUGGGUUUGAUGAUGAUGAUCCUUGAUGGUCAGACCGAAUAAACUCAGUAGCCUUUUCCUGUCACAAGUUCAAAUUUUUAUGUGAGAUUUUUAACUCUAAUUUUAAACAUCACAAAUGAAUAAGAGAACAACAUAAGAAUUACUAUUUUGUCAGCAGCAUCUGUGUUUACUGCAGUGCCAUCCUUUUUAGUUCGUGACUUCACCCACACAUUCAGUCUCGUCACUUCAGUGCCAUCCUUUUUCUGCAUAAUGAUUCAGGUUUAUGAUUCAAGAACAAAAAAAUUCCAAAAAAAUUCCAAUAAAUACACAAAUCAGGCUCCUGUAUAUAUACUUACUAAAUCUUCUGCCAAUCUAACCAUUCCUUUACGGCUACAUGUGUGAGGAAUCUGCUUACGUCUUCUUUCCUUGUACGACUCCCUAACAGCCUAUAUAGAAGUGUUAGAAAGCAGAUGUAAGAUAAUAUAACUAAUUAAGAUGUCAUACCCUGAACUCUUUACUAGUCUUCUCUUUCACAAACUUCUUCCACUCUGCAAGUUGAAUAUUAUCUGGCCUCAACUUCAAACUUCUUCAGUGUGCAUACGCCAUAAAUAUGUUGCAUCCCUUUGACAUCUACUAUUCGAGUCUUGUAGAUGUUGUAAAUGAGCACUUGCAAAUGGAAAAAGCAAACCUCAACACUGAAAUCUUAUAAAAGUCACAAUCAAUACUUUUAUAUAUACUAAGAGAAACUUACUCAACAUAUGGAUCCACCAUGGCCGUGUUCUGUAUUACAGCAAGAUGAGCUAUUUUCAACUCUGCUUCUGAAAAUUGGAAUGAGCGGGCGGCUGAUAUAGGACGACCUUCGAGGAUGGACUUACUCUCAUACUCAGUGUUUCUGUCCUCUUUUUCUUGCACAUUUGUUGUAGUAGUCAAGAAAGCCGAGCAGAACUUCAUGCACUCAUCCGCAAGAUAAGACUCAGCUAUACACCCCUCUGGUCUUGCUGUGUUUCUGACAUAGUCUUUCAAGACUUUCAUAUACCUGUUUUAAAAGAACAUAGGUCAUGAUUAGUAAGUCCAUUAGGAAGAUUAAUAAUUUUUUCAGUGGAGAACAUACCUUUCAAAUGGAUACAUCCAUCGGAAAUGGACCGGACCACCAAGUCUAGCUUCUCUGCCUAGAUGCACACACAAGUGAACCAUGAUGUCGAAGAAACUUGGUGGCCAAAAUCUUUCAAAAAUGCAGAGAGUCUCCACGAUUUCAGAUUCCAUUUGCUGAAGUUGUUCCAUAUCGAUUACUCGUUGGCAUAGAAGGUUGAAGAAAGCGCAUAAGCGGAGAAUGGCUACCCUAGGACCCUUAGGUAGUAAGCCCCUGAUUGCUACUGGCAGUAGUUGUUGCAUUAGGACGUGAUAAUCAUGAGAUUUGAGUCCCAACACCUUACACUCCUCUAAUGAUACACAACUAGAUAUAUUAGCACAGUAGCCAUCAGGACCUUUAAAAUCAUAUAGCCGCUUACAGAAGAUGUGUUUCUCUGACUUUGAUAAAGACCAGGGAGCUGGUGGAAGUAAUGUCCUUUUACCCUGAGCUUUUGGAUGCAAAUCUUUCCUGAUACCAAGACUUUCAAGAUCCUUUCUAGCCUUUAGACCAUCCUUUGAAUUGCCACAAUGUAACAAUGUCGCAAUCAAGCUUGCAGCCACAUUCCUCUCCACAUGCAUAACGUCUAGAUUAUGCCGAACAGGGAGCUCCUUCUCAUGACAAAGCAAAUAAAGAAAAAUAUCAGAACAGCUCUUACAGACUUAAACAGUUAGUAAAUGUUUAAUUUUAAACAUACCUCCCAAUAAGGCAAUGAGAAAAAAAUGGAACGUUUUUUCCAUCUAGACAAUUCCUCUUCGUCUUUAUCUCCUACAUCUUCAUCCUCAUCAGAUCCACUUAGUUCAUCUUCCUUAUCAGAUGGUAUGUCAACUCGAGUAGCCCUCUUUUUCCCAGACUGUUUUCUAUUACCAAAAACAUUCUUGUAAUUUCUCAACACAUAUGAGACAUUCCUGCCUGUGAGUACCCUUCCCUUCGUCCCAUGUUCCGUUUUCCCAUCAAACCAAGCCUUCUUUCCUCUAAAACUAUGCAAGGGAGGCAAACUUUUCCGGUGGCCCAUAAAUACAAACUUCCUACUAUUCUUCAGCCACAAACUAUCUGUGUGCUUCCCGCAUAUAGGACAACCCAUUUUACCCUUCACUUUACAACCAGCAAGAUUCCCGUAAGCCGGGAAAUCACUAAUAGUCCAAAGUAGCAUUGCCUUAAGGGUAAAGGUAGUCUUACUAACUGCAUCAUACGUUGGCUCACCUAUUGACCACAACUGUUUUAAAUCUUCAAUCAACGGCUCUAAGUAAACAUCUAUACUAUUACCCGGCUGAUGUGGUCCUGGAAUCAGCAGACUGAGCAUUAUGUUCUCCUCCUUCAUACAUAGGUCAGGAGCCAUGUUGUAAUUCACCAGUAACACAGGCCAGCAACUGUAUCGGCUGUUCUUCAUACUAAAGGGAUUAAACCCAUCUGUUGAAAGCCCAAGUCGCAAAUUCCUCUCCUCCGCUGCAAACGACGGAUACUUGUCAUUCAUUGACUGCCAAGUAACAGAGUCUACUGGAUGUCGGAGUUUCCCAUCUGUGCUCUUGUUAUUGAAAUGCCACCCAUUCUGAGACUUAAUCCUAAACAAAGAAACUACAGCUGAUAGCUUGCUAUGACUAGAACACGUCGGAUACAAGGGGGUUUCAGCCUCUGCAAGUUUUGCUAAAAACUCAUCUUCUUUCCUGUCCUCACCCUCAACUGACUCACGUAACUGUGAACCCCGGUUGGCUAAAUCCUCAUCUACAAAGUUUGCAGCUUCAUAUAAACUAAGAAUCUCAGCAUUCCAGCAUCUAUCUUUAACAUCCACUACAUCAACAGAGCUACCAUCUCCAUGGUGAAACCAAUCCGUCCGUACCUUGUAAGCAUCAUCCAUUCCAUUUAUAACCAAAUGAGAGACAACCUCCUCACUUGUAUGGCGAUACAGAUUACGACAUCGGGCGCAUGGACAUACAAUCUUCCCAUUAACUCCUAACUUAUCAGUAACACCAUUGACAAAAGCUCGGGCAGCUCUCUCGUAUGCAGAAUCAACUCUUAAGUUCAUGAAAAAAAAAAGUUAUGACGCGAAUUUUUGGAAUUCUAUAACCUGAACACUUAGGGAAAUGUACAUACCUACUUAUAUGAACCCACGACUUGUCCAACAUUAUUAGGACCCUUGCCAAAAUUCCAAAAAGUGUACAUGGUUCAAGCAACAAUGACAAUAUAAAUUUUGCUUCAAUGUCUAAACCGCAAACAACUAGAUAAAUGUCUACAAAAGUAUACAAACUAUUAGAUAAUGUGAAUAAGUGAUCGAUGUGUCUAACCUCGACAGAAUAUAGAAGACGCAAGCUUGUGAAGUCACGAACCCGCACCUGCAAAACAAAAAAAGAACUGAUUAAUGGAAACAAAUAUGAACCGAUAACAAUGAAAUUAAUCAGAACUUGAAUCAAUCGAAUCUAACACCUAUUUACUUUCACAACUUCAAUCAAUCAAAACUAAGACCUAUAUACAUGCACAACUUGGAUCAAUUGAAUUUAAGACCUCACUCUUAAAUUAGAGUCUCGGAUUUGAAAUUGGAGAUGAUGAUGGCUGAAUCCAAUUGUAUACUCUGUUAGGAUGAGCGACGAGAUUACGGAUGGUGAAAGAUGAGAGAUCGAGGCGGAGAUGGUGGAGAGAGGUUGUGGAGAGGAAUGGAAGAUGGAGAAAACGCGGCGGAGAUGGUGGAGAGAUGAUGUGGGGAGGAAGGGUUGGUGGGCGAUGGAGUCGUAGAUGGUGGAGAGAGGAUGUAGAGAGGAAGGGAAGAUGGAGAAACGAGUCGGAGAUGGUGGAUAGAGCUUUGAGCUCGAUGGAGGUGGAGAAGAAAGGGAAGACGGAGAGAACGAGGUAAGUAAAUCCGAUCCCUUUCUUUUUUUUUUUUAAUGCUAUGAAAAGUAUAUGUUCUUAAAACAUACCGCCUAAAUCCAUUUUUUUCACUAAGUGUUGGCGCUUAUUCUAAAAACUUGGGUGAUUAGUGAGUUUUUUUUUUCACUUUACCGAAUUUUCGGCAUAGCAUAAGUAAAGUGCUAUAACUUUGCGAGGCAGACUUCCAAAUACCUUUCCAUAGCAGUUAGGAAAAUUGUGCUAUCUUAAUCUGCUAUGAAUACCUAUAUUUGUUGUAGUGGUCCAACUAAUAGACUAAGAAUUUUUCAUUUAUAAUAUGUGUUCUAUGGAUGCAUUUAUUAAUUUGUAAAAUAUUAAUCUUUAAAUAAUUGUAGUAUGACAAUAUGGAAAAUAUUGUGAUUUUCUUUGCAUCUUUAACCAUGAAAUGCACCAUAAAUUCAUAAAUUCAAUAGUUAUAAUAUUUCUUAUAUCUUAUACAAAACAUCUGCUUUCAUCAUUAUUUUUAUUUUUAUUUAAUGAUGCUAUGAGCAAUAAAUAAAAAUACAUACUAGGAGGAAAGUAAUUAUUGCUCUUUAUUUAUUUAGACAUAAUAGUUAUAGCUUAUUUUUGCAUGUCUCGGAUAUUUUUCAUGUAUGUUUCAUAUUCUCGGGGCCUAUUGUUUCAGCCGAAAGAUCUUGCGGAGGAAAAGGAGAUUUAUACUAAGCUGGAGGAGUAGGGGUGGAUGCAACAUGUCUACGUCCACUAGAGAUUUCAAACAAGGGACGAUUUGCCUGAACCAAAAUGUUCUCCGUUCCCAUUAUUACCAACAUCAUCAUCAUAAACAUUGCUAUAUUUUUUGUGUUCAUCAUUUUUUCAGAAAUUGUUUUGAUAUUACCUAAGAAGUUUUUUUGUUACUAUGAAUUGUAAAAGUUGA